rnacentral:lncRNA from 1 species
UUAUAUGGAUCCGGUAAUUGACCGUAUCAGAUCCGAUCACAUGCAUCCACCUGGGAAAUUAAGCUAGAUCGAUCGAGAUAGAUAGAUAUAUACUAGGAUUUUCUGCUUUUGCUUCUACUAGUACGGAUUUGGACGAAUAUAUAAGAUCCCACCUCUUGUCACAGUACUACAUGUAUAUUUUCUUUUCUUUUCUUUUUGUGUGACAGUUUUUUUUUUGCAUGCAUGAGACGAAUCACGUAACCAAAUCAUGGUGAUUUUAUUGUUACUUGAUCAUGCAUGUAGUACUAGGCAGCGUUGGAAAGGAGAGCUAGCUAGCUAAGGUGCAUGAGACAAAUUUAUACGGGGAUCGGAGCUAUAGGUGCAAGUACCAAAGUACCGGCCGGCCAUGAAUUAACGGACUUACCGGUCAUGCAUGCAUCGGAAAUAGGACACGUAUGGCUGUCGAUGGCCGUGUCAUGCAUUCAUGAUCAAGUACACUGUGCCGGCGGUCAAAGCUAGAUCGAGGCCGCACGCAUUUGAGUUUAUGACCUUCAUUUCGUACUUACUCCACUGGCCGGCCGGUACUUAUUGCAACCGCCACCUGCAAAAUGCAAACCUACCUCAAGUACACUUCUCAUGCACCUACAAGCUCUGCUGCGCGCAGUACAGUACGUCUCCAUCCACUCCUCCGACAAAAGAAAUACGGAGUAGGUAGACUUUUUUUGAAUGCUCAGAGUGGCAAAACACAAGAUUUUUUUUUUGAAUGCACCGGCCGCCCAAGUGGCAAACAUAGUGAAUAGUAGACAGAUCCGGCCUGGGCGGCCGGUGCAUCCACAGUGAAUAGUAGAUAGAUCGAUCGGACCAUUAACCGGAGAUCGAGCAUGGCCGGGCAAAAGCUAUCCAUAUGUAGCAAGCAAGGCCGUUUUGUUUAAUUGGAGCCAUAUAUGUAUGCAUGCAUGGAGAUAUACAUAUUUCGGUCUCUAUCCGAGAUUACAAUUUUUACGAGUCGCCUGAUUUUUAAGAAAAAUAAUUAAAUCUUAAUUAGUUGUAGCGUCAGAGCCAUUCGAUCAAGAUCUCAAGUGUUAUCUUCACUUUCUAUUCUUACAUGUGUUGCCGUUAAUCCAAUGAUUCGACUUAAUUUUAUAACUAAAAAUCAGAAAAGUUCUACUAGAUAGUAAACCCGUUUUUAAAUAGCUCACCGGUUUUGCCACCUGCUCAUACGCACAUAUAUUUUUCUCUCUCGCUUGUUGGAACGAUCAGCAGCAUCGUGAUAUGUGGACGACAUGAUCGUGGCCGUCGAGUGAUGGAUGAUGGACACGAAUCAAGGAAAAGAGGAUCACUCACGCACGCGACUUAUCCUUUAAUUUGCAUCCUCGUCUAUCCAUCCAUCUUAGCUAUUGUGUACCGUGCGUGCAUGCGUCGGCCGGUGCCAAAGUCGCCGGCCGGGCCUCCGUCCCGAAUUAACUGUCUUGAAUUUGUAUAGAUUUUUAUACAAAUCGAUCCACUCAGUUGAUUUGAGACGGAGGGAGCAAGUCAGUAGUCAAUGUGUGUAGACCAACAAGCGGUCCAAACAAACCCCACAUCGAUCAGUCAGUCAGCAAUUGAAGCCGACAGCAGUAGAGUGAGCUAGGGGAGUAGCCAAAUUUAAUUAAUCCACCUUCCGUCCUCCUACAUAUCUUCUCGCUAGCUAGCUACCUCCAUCAUAUCUUUCUCUAUACCAGUCAGAAAACUCAGAAGCCAGAAUCCAGUACUAGUGUCUCCACAAGACCGGCCGCAAGGAUCAGCCGAUCGACCAGUCAUUAGUAUUACUAGCUUCUGCUGCUGCUACUACUACUGAUCCACUAUGGAAGGGAAGAAGAAGCCUGCUGCUGCCGGCGCCGGGUCGAAGACGAACGGGAGCUCCAUCGUGGACGACCUCUUCGGGCCCAAGCCUGAUGCCUCCAACUCCUCUUCCUCCUCCGCCAGCUACUUCAGCACCGUUUUCCCAACUCCAUCCGAGGUAAUACACUCACGUCCUGUUUCUAAUUCUCUCUGCGAUUCCGUCUGUAACUAAUUCUAUGCCUGUCUUAAUAUUGGCCUCCAUGCAAGCUCUAUAUUCUCUUCGAUAUAUUCAUCCGCCUUUUUCGCUUCUUUUUUCCUCCGGAAAAUUAAAAACGGAGUAUACAAAUCAAUCUUAACUAAAAUAUGUAUCAGCUGCACGUACUCGAUCGGCUCAUGUUACAUACAUGCAUGUAACAUAUAUUAUACACAUCCUUCAUGCAUGACACAUGGUCGAGCAUUAUUGUGAUCGAUGCAUUACACAUGGACUGCUCGAAUAUAUAUUAACCUCUUUCUUCUCUUACCUGGAAGCAAUUUUGUUGAUCCGUUUCAUAGCAUGCACAUGCAUCCGUGUGCAUAUAUCUUAAUUAGCUACCUACCUGUAUAUGUAGUAUGAGUUACUUACCUGUAGAGCUGCAACUUUGUGAACCUCAGUGUACCUUUUGACCCUUUUUAGUUUAACCAAAUGAACUAAAUUUUUAAAAUGACACAACUUUUUUAAAAACUAGUUCAUUUGUUUGAACUAAGGAGAGGAGGGUCAAAACGUACCCUAAGGGUCACCAUGUUGCACCCUGCUUACCUGUAUAUUAAUGGCAAUUUGUUGAUGGAUGCAUGGCUGCAGGCGGCGGGGAAAGAUGCGUCACGUCGGGCUCAAUAUGGUAAUCAGUCAACAAAUCAAGUACAGUACGUACUGCGGCAAUUAACAUGGUGAAUUCAUUGCAAAUUAACUGAGAUUUUGAUUGAUAUUGCAGCAGCAUCCGGGAACAAAUCAUCGUCGUCGUGGACUGGGCAGCAGCAGCAGCAGUACGGUUCAGGGUCACCUGAGUCUCCUUACUUCGGCUCCUCCUCCGUCCACUACGGCGGCCGGGACUUGUACACCCCCGGCAACGUUAACGGCGAUCAGAGCAAGACUCAUCACGGAGGACCCAUUCGUAAGCAUAAUAAGGUCGACGACGGCGACACCUCUGGAGCAGCCACCCGGGGUGACUGGUGGCAAGGUACCUCCCUAGCUCAGCUCAGUUUCUUCCUUUACAUAUAUGCAUCUACUAGCUCCUGUGUUGAUGUGCAUGCAUCCAGACUAAGUAGACUAAUCACUUUCAUCUUGACUCAACUUCCAGGUUCCCUCUACUACUAGCAAGUGCAUGCACAAGCAGCAGCCUAGCCAGUCCUGGGCGUUAGCCUUCCUUGGAACAUAAUCUGUAACAUGCAUUAUGCAUGCCAGCUUCAUCAAUUAGUCGAUCGAUCAAUUAUUAUGUAAGAACUUAUGUUAGUCUCUUUGAUGCAUCUGUGUGUAUUAUAUAAUAUAUAUACUAGUAAGGUGUGUCCGUGCGUUGCAAUGGAAUAAAUGGAUCGUAUCGAGACACCGAUUAAAAUUUCAAUGUAUCUUAUACACACGCCGAUUGUGAUAUGCUGCGCUUACGUCGCAACAAACACCGUCUUCUUCCUGUUUUUGACCCUCUCCGGUGACCACACGGCGCACUCCUACGUUGACAGUUGACACGUGUUUUCCGCACCCUCCAUAUCUCAACUUUGGGAGAUCCAGAGGGAAAUACGUACAGAGAUUUGCAAGACACAUGUUGCUUGAUCAUCCGUUUCUUCUAUGAUAGCAUCUAGACUUCUCUAUUCGCACUUUGGUCUAACAGCUAGUGGAAACAACUCCAUGCUUUUAUCCAAAUCAAAUUAUGUUCUGUGUGUACUGAAAAGUACCCUGUUUUUUUAGACUAACUUGGUUUCCUGGCCAACCGAUUAUAGCAUGGUAACUGUCAUGCUGCACAAACUUUUAUAACUGCCAUGCUGUUUGCUUUUUGGCUCUUUUUGCCGGAUUUGGCCCAUUCGGCCUGUUUAAAAAAUAUAGAAAAUUAACUGAGCCAACGGAUGGGUGCGGCCCACUGUUGUGUCGUGCGCGGGCCGUCCAACGUGCCAAGGAAUGAAAAAAAAACAUGGCCCAAUUUGUGUCUUGUGCCUGUCUCGAUCCGAAAAAAGAUGUCGUGUCGUCCUUUGGGGCGGGCUUUUUUUUAUGCACCUCGGGCCGGCCCGAUGGCCACCUUUAGAUCCAUGACAAGGUUUGGUCUCACAUAUAAGUCAACGGUGGGACGGGGUGGCUACAGAUCACCACCACCAAAUGACUUGUUUAUAAGAGUAAAUAUAUAUAUUUAACUGUUGUAUUUCGGGCUCUCCCUAUGUUCCUAUUAAUGCAUAGAAAUAAAUUGCACAAAACCAUCACAUUUUAGGUUAUUGGCGGGCGUUACACUCGACCACCACUUCCACUUUGUUUUAUUGUUGCAACCUCAGUGUGUGAUUAAUCACACCCAGAUGGUCGGUUGCCGGCUGGUUCACUGGUCUUUAAAUGCAAAUUUGGCAUAUCAAAACUCGACAUACCAGCAUUUUCAUGGUUCCCAGGAGCGCCACGUGAGAAGCAACGCACAUGCUAUUGCCAUCGUCACUAGGCCUGGACAUUUUACUCGGUACUCGAAGAGUAGCUCGACUCGUUUGGUAUUCGGCUCGUUAGACUAAAGAGCCGAGUAGAGCACCUCCUGAAACUCGUUAACACUAAAGAGUUUAACGAGCCGAGCUAGCGAGACUCGCGAGCAUGCUCGUUAGCUCGUUAUCUGGCGUCUGCUGGUCGAACCAAACACAGUAACCUACGACUUGUUAGGUCCAACACACCUUCCCGAACAGCCCAACUGCCUGAAUGCAGCCCAAGCCCAAGACUCGUUAGGUCAGCCGGGUCUCCAGUCUCCUCCUCGUUUCGUACUCUCGUCAAACUAAUAUUAGUCUUAUUAGUGCUUUUGUAUUGUAUUGUAUGAGGACACGAAGCUGUAAUGGCUGUUAGUCUUAUGAGUAUUUGUGUUGUAGCCUGUAAUGGUUAUUAGUCUUAUUUAUUAUGAACUUAUUAUAAUGUUGUACACAUGUUUUGCUUGUCGUUUUUUCUACAUACAUGCUGUCCAUUUUUUUCCACCGCUAACGAGCUUAACAAGCGUCCGACGAGCGCUCGCGAGCAGUAAACGAACCGAGCCGAACAGGCUUUGAUGUUCGUUAAGGUUAACAAGCAUAACGAGCCGAGAUCUUAACGAGCGAGCUCUUAACGAGCCGAGCAUGCUCGUUAGCCAGGCCUAAUCGUCACACGGUUGUUUCGAACUAAGGUAAGAUCUAGCUAUGUCUGUUCAUUAAAAAAAAGCAAUGUAUUAUAAACGCCUUGAACAGACCAGCCUUCUCACUCUCACCCGCACGCAGAACAUCUCCUAGUCCAGAUUUGUCAUUGUUGUCACCACCGCCUCAGGUACCUAUCAGCAUGCACACCCCACACUACACUAGGUCAGUGGGUGUCCUCGACACCUGCUUGUCCACGGGGAACAUGCACGUCCCGACAGCAUCCAUUGAUCCCGCCCCAGAUCGAGACAGCCAAUGAUUGCCAGCGAAACCGCCAAAAGUAGGUCCAGGGAGUAUAUGCGGUUUCGACUGUUUGAGAUGCAAGUAGGUUGAAAACUUGCCAGCAUGUCCCAUGUCCUCUCUUUUUUGCCAAGGCAAAGGUGGCGACAUGAUGCAUGAAGACGUGGGUAUCCGAUCGCUUGGCGCGCUUCGUCCCAUCCUUCCACUCCAUCACCUCCACUGCACCACGGUAUAGAAUUCCCGACCGUGGAUGGCUGGUAAAAGUCGAUAUAUACCGACCGACCGUUGGCCGGAAAAAGUCCCAACCAAUUCUUGGUCGGUAUUUCUAUAGUAUGCUGAAAGAUUGUUGGUUGCCCCGUCCUUCCACUCCAUCACCGUCCACUGCACCACGGUAUAGAAUUCCCGACCGUGGAUGGACGGUAAAAGUCGAUAUAUACCGACCGACCGUUGGCCGGAAAAAGUCCCAACCAAUUCUUGGUCGGUAUUUCUAUAGUAUGCUGACAGAUUGUUGGUUGGGAAUACGAGAAACUUUGCUGUCGAGAAGUUGGUCGGGAAUACUAACAUAGGCGUCAAACGGUCGGUCGGUAAAAAUUGCCGACCAACGAAUGGUCGGUCCGUUCAUUGAGCUGAAAUUUUAGGGCGCCACAAUUUGGCCCGGCCCGCCAAAGCUUCCCCCCCACCCAAAGACCUCCAAAUUCCUAAAUCCCUGUACGCCACUACUCAUGCCCUAAAUAUCUCUUCCCCUUCCAGCUCGCACGCCGCCGCCAUUCUCGAUCUACGGCCGUUGUCCUCCUGCCUCUCCACCACCGGCCUUGCUUCCGCCCCGAUCUGCUUUUCCGAUGUGCCGCCUGGCCACCUCCCCCAUGCGCUCGACCGUCGCCAUGCCUUCGUAGGCACCGACCGCCGCCGCCCCAGGAGCUCGACGCCUGCCCCGCCGUUCCUCCCCCCCCCCCCGCCAAGGUGGUCCUUUGCCAUCCCCUCUGGUGAGCACUUCCAUCUCCCUUCACCAGCCCCACCCCGACCCCCAAAUCCCCUCGGCCACACCACACCAGCACAGACACCCCAAAUCCCUCUCUUCCACUUCCACCACGCACGCUGCCGCCGCCUAGAUCUCUGACCGUCGUCCUCCUGCCUCUCUACCGCCGACCCGCUAGCUGCUCCUGCAGUCCUGCUCCAGUCUGAGGUACGUUGGUCGUCGAGUCCUCCCUAGAUCCAGUACAGUUAAUUGAAUCCCUAAACUGUGAGAUGUGCCCUGGGGAGGGAGGGGAGGUGCAGGACGCUAAGGGCAUUGCCGCAUGGGGCUGGAUCUGAGGAGCUGCAAGAGGAUUGAGGCGGGUCUCCUCUUUGAACCCGAUGAACUACAGUGUGGCGGCUGUUUCCCUGUUUUGAUUAAUAACAAUGAAGGUGACAAGCAUUUCGUUUUCUCUUUUCUCUGUUGUCUUGUUUGCUUCAAUUUUUUACGCCCUCCGUCUAACAAAGGAUGCCUCAACUUUGAUUAAAUUUGAAUGCAUCUAUACACUAGAUACAUUCAAAUUUCAGCAAACUUGAGACAUCCUUUGUUGGACGGAGGGAGUAUUUAUUCUGCGAGAAAACCUUCCUUUAAUAAAAAACAUUUAUUAGUGCUGACAUGCUAAAAACAUUUUUUGUUUACAUGAUAAAGUGAUUCAGAACAGAUGGUUCACUCUUUUGUUGUUUGUCUGUCUUCUAUUGUACAAGUAUAAACGUGAUUCAGAACAGCAGGACCAACCUUACAGGCACAAGCCACCCGAAUUCCAGAAGGUAAUAGACAUGAUAAAAGUGUUAGUGCUCCUUGUCUCCUUGAAAUAUAUUUGGAAUUGGAACUGCAUGUUUUGGAGGCCAUCUAUAGAUUGUGCAAGACAACUACCCCCUCUGAUUAUAUAAAUGCAAUAGUAGGACGGUGGUUACAUUGAUGCUGAGAGAAGUUGAAUUUCACUCUCUAAAUGAAUCUAAAUAUGAUUCUGUCUGUUUAUGGAUGAUUACUUUAAAUUUGCUUGCUGCUUAUGUGUAGCUUCAAUUAUAUAUAAUGUAUUACUCUAGUUCGCUCUCCUUUGCUGUUUAUAUUUAUUAUCUAGGCUUUGAUCAGGGUUCAGAGCCUUGAUCAUGUCAACUAGGAAUCGAAAGUAAAUCCAUCAUAUUUAUCCAAUAAAUGUUUCUGUAGAGAUUCUUUGCCAGCUGCACAAGCAUUUAUAAUUCAGCAAUAUUUAUUUUCCGUAAGAAUACAUGCUAGUGUAGCACAGACUUGAUUGCUUUUUGGGUUAGUGACUUGUUUACAUGCUUGGUAGGGUAAAUGUACAGCAAAGAAAGGGUAAGCUGAAUCUUGCUAAGUCCGAAAAAGAAGCAGUUGCCAUACAUACGAUGAGUCCUUUAUGGAGAGAGACCAAAUGCUAGUGUCUCAGGUCAGAGGUCACAUUAUACAGUCAUGCCCGUGUUAGCUAAGAAAUGGUAGAAAUAAUUACCUUAACUGAAAUUGAUAUGCCAAUGUAUUUCAAGGACUUCUACUUUAUAGAAACAUCAAAUUAUUGCAGGCUGACGAACUUCUAAUAAAUGGAAUUUUAUAUGCAUCUUGAUGUAUUCAGAUUGUGAUGUGUGCAGCAGAUCAUAUGUGAUGCCUCUUUUUGCAGCAGUGAGACUAGGAAAUGAAAAAAACAUGACUGAAGGAACUGUAUAGUUGUAUUGCGUUACAUUAUUUCACCACCCCAUAAACUUCUAAUAAAUGGAAUGUUAUAUCAAUGUUGCUGCCCAUACCUAGAACUGUUCAAACCAUGAAUGCAUUUUAGAAAGCCUGAACUGUACAUCUAGGAAAAUGAAACUGGGGAGACCAGUUUGAGAAAGACAUGAGCAGAUAUGCUAAUCAGUCAGGCAAAGGAACUGUGAAUAGAUAUUGAUAACAAGACUUUAAUUCACCUGUUGUACUCCAAACUUGUAAGUUAUUAUUAGUGUUCUUUUGUUAUUAGUUUUGUAAAUCAAACAGACUUGGUUGAGACAUGGUUACCUUUUGUACGCAGGAAAUACACGAGAGAACAUAGUAGCCGGUGGUUCGCAUCAAUUAGAUGAUUGCACAAUGAAGUAAAUUUGUUGAUGUUGGAGAUGCACCUUGUAGCUAUCAUUUUGUAAAACUGGAUAAGUGGUGUGUCUUGUGCACUCAACCAAGAUCUUUCAUGCACUUAUCAUCUUUAACUUCUAUGGGUAGCAGUGAACUUAUAAGAUUCAUGCACUAUUUGUAAAUGUGAUGAAUUAAUGUAUCAAGUACAGUUAAUUUAAUAUCAUGCGUGUUGUUAAUUGGUGGAUUUUGGAAGUACAUCAUUGUCAAAUAUUUUCGCAAAGCAUCUGAUUUAUACAUGUAAAGCUGUGUGCCUGGACCUUGUAAAGUCAAUUGGCGAAAGCCUGGGCAACAAAACGUUGGUCGGCAAAACAUAUGCUGUCCGACGGCUGGUUGGGAAUGGUUAUGUGGUUGGGCUACUGAAUGUCUGUCGGGAAUAACCAUAGCAACAGAUUGUUGGUCGGGAAAGCAGCGUCGGUCGGAAAAACUUUGCCUGUCGGUAAAGAAAUAGUUGGUCUGGAAUGGUAUUCGGACGCCGUCAGAUAGUCGGUCGGCAAAGUAAAGUUGGUUGGGAAAGGGCUUGGCCGACAGGACUUUCGGUGACAGACAAUGUUGGUCGGCAAAAUCCUUUACCGACCGAUCUUCUGUUGCUAAAAGCAGUUUUCCCGACCAACUUGGCUGUCGGAAAUUUUAUACUGUGGUGUAGUGAUCACGUGUUCCCUCUCAUGUGCCGCCAGACGCAAGUGGCACCAUCCGAGUCCGAAUCGGGUCCUUGUGGUCACCACCGCCUCCGGUGCGUAUCAGCACGCAUAUGCUCACACCAUGUCGGUGGCCGUCCUCAUCACCUGCUUGUUCAUAGGGAACACGUUGGAUGGCACCCAUCACGAACCGCACCCGAUUGAGACAAUCAACGGGCCGGGUGUCCAUGUACGGAACCACCAAAAGUGGUACUUGGGGAAGAAAAGCAUAUGUUUUACGGUUGGAGGACUAUGCUUCUUCUGUUUACAAAAUCGGGACUAAACAUGGACUUUUGUGACGAUUGAAGGACCAAAAAUGUAAACCGCAUUUAUAAAUGAUGAUCAACUGUCACAUGACCCUGGGCAUGGCCUCACAUGUUUUAGUUCCAUCAACGGUUCAUGAGAGUAGCUAGCUAGUGUAAAACGACCGGCCGAUCGACGGUACACAUAUUUCUCUCUCUGCUCUUUUAAGAUGGCAAUUUCUAGAAAAUAGCUCACCACGUUUGCCACCUGGUUAUACAUAUAUAUUUCUCUCCCUCUAUAGGCAAGCCUUGCCUUGUUUCUUUUGAACGAUCGGCGCGGCCUACGUCGCCGCAGGUAGAUAGAUAGAUACAUUAGCAUCGCGAUCGAUAUAUGGACGGCAACGCGGUGUGGACUCAUCGAUGAUGGACUACACGGAUGAACCAAGCAUCCAAAAGAGGAUCACGCACGCACAAGCGAUCGAUCGACUUAUCCUUUAAUUUGCGUCCUGAUCCUGAUCAUCUUCCCAUCUACUAUCUGUGUACUCCAGCUGCUACGUACCGUGCGUGUCCGUGUGCGUCGGUGCCAACUGCCAAGCUUGCUAGAGUCAUGUGUGUCAGUAGGCAGUCAAUGUGAAGACCAAGAAUUGGAGAUCCGGACAAAAAUGACAGCAAAUUGAAACCGACACCAGUAGAGAAUGAGUAGCCAAAUUUUACCAAUCCGCCUUCCUCGAUUCCUCCGUCCUAGGUAGUACUAGUACAGCACACAGGAACAGGGAGUCCCUCCCUCUAUAUAUAGCUCCUAUCAGUUGGUCAGUCAGAACUCAUCAGAUUCAGAAGCCAGCCAGUCGAGAUCUCCACAAGCUAGAACCAGCCGACCAGACCAGGUACGUAGAGCUCCCUAGUACUCCUAGCUAGUAUGGAAGAGGAGAAGAAGCCUGCUGCUCCUGCCACCAACGUUGGUGCUCCUGCUUCUGCUGUCACCGUUGGUGCUUCUGCUUCUGCCACCGUUGGUGCUCCUGCUUCUGUUGAUGCUACUGCUACUGCUGCUGAUGCCGGCUCCGGGUCGGCGGCGACGGAGAGCUCCAUCUUCGACGAGCUCUUGGGACCCAUGAUCGACGCCAACAAACCAGACUCAACCUCCACCCCCGGCUAUUUCAGCACCCUCUUCCCAACUCCAGCCGAGGUAUGACACAUCACACGUCCUGCAGCCUCUGUAAUUCACUGCUUUCUCUUACCAUUCGGUUUCUAAUUGAUUGUAUCUAGGGAUCUCUUGUAUCUAUCUAUGUGUGUCUAAAUUUUGGCCUGAUUCAAGAUAUAUAUGUUCUCUUCGAUUCAUCCAUCGUUUAAUUUCUGCUAUUUUCCCCUUGGGAAAACUAAGGCCGGCCAGGCACAUGUCCUCGGCAGCUAGCUAGCUGGUAUUUUUAAAAAAAAAAUUUGGUCCGAGUAUAAAUCACCGGCCAGAUAUAGAGUACAUAAAAAUUAGAAUCACUCCAAGCUUUUUUCUUCUUCUCAUCUCUAUAGCUAGCUAGCAGCUUGUUGAUUGAUAUACGUUUCUCCUAGCUAGCUAGUAAGUACAAUAGAAACGCAUGCGCAAUGCAUGCUUGCUAGCGUCCAUUGCAUGGCAUCACCAAAUUAAUUAGGUAACUAAUAUAUCAGCACAACGCCCGAUAUGCAUGACAAGCGCAUUUUUGUUUCUUUGUAAAUACACUUUUGUUUGCUUGUACAUAUACGACCGAUCGGCGCAUGAAACAACCUCUUUUUCCCGUAAGCAAUUUUUGUUUCCUUGUACAUACAGUACAUUUUUUGUUUCCUUGUACAUAUAUGAUGGAUCGAUCGGUGAUGCAUGACACAACCUCUUUCUUGUAAGCAAUUUUGUUCAUUCAUUUCGUAUAUAUCAUCAAUUCAUGCCUGUAUACACAUGGUAUACACGUCAUAUACCUCAGCUACAAGAGGCUAUCUAUAUACAUAUGUAUACGUGUUACUUACGUGCUUAUGAUGAAUUUGUUGGUGGAUGGCAGGCGGCGGCGGCGGCACGUCGUCGGGGUCAAUGUGGUAACAAAUUUAUCAUCCAUCCAGAAAAUUAAUUAAUUAACUUAAUUGGUGAAUUACUAGCUAAUUGACUGAUAUAUAAAUGUUGCAGUACCUGGGAUCAACUCGUGGGCAGGGCAGCAGCAGCAAGGGUAUGAUCUUGAGUCGUCUCCAUACUUCAGCUCCUGCGGCGUCCACUACGGCGGCCGGGAGUACUACAUCCCCGAUAACAACAGUAGCACUACCAAGAAGAAGCCAGAUGAAGAAGACAACUCUGGAGCAGCCAAUCGGGGUGAUUGGUGGCAAGGUACAUUAUACAUACGCCGCUAGCUAGAGCUAGAGACCUCAGUUCAGCUUCAUCCUUAAUUUACAUGCAUGUAAAUUAUAGUACUAAUCCAAGCAAUAAUCUCACUUUCAUCUUGACUCAAUUCCAGGUUCCCUCUACUACUAGGGAAUGCAGAUGAUCAGCAGCAGCAAAGCCGAUCGACCUCCUUCGAUAAUAAAAGUACUAUGUAACAUGCAUAAUACAUGCCAGCUCUAGCUUCGAGUCGUACUCGUUUAUUUCUAAGUGGGAUAUGUAGAAGAUGCAUGGCCGGUCGAUCCACAUGGAUCAAUCGAUCAUGCAGCUUCAUUUGUUCGUCAAUCUGCUGCUGUUAUGUAAGAACUUUUGUCAGUUGAGACAUCGGUCCGAAAUGAUCGAUGCCGAAUCUCUUUCAUGUAUGUGUGUGUGUUCUAUAUAUCUAAUAACCGUUGUGCUACCUAUGCCUUUCUCACUCUCUCUAUAUUUAAUAGUUGGUCCGAAAGGAUUUUCAUAGAAUUUUGAAGGAUUUGAAUACUUAGGUUUUUUUUUCUAUAUGAGUUGUUUGAUUUGUAGGAUUGAACCCCAUGGGAAAUUUUCCUAAGGAUUACGUUGCACUACAUUUCACAGGAACUAUUGCACUCCCACCUCUUUCUCAAAUUUCUUUGUUUUUCCUGUGUUUAGUCAAACAAACAUUGAUGAUCUAACCAAAAUCUUGUAGGAUUCGAAUGGCAUGACAUUGCAAUCCUGCGAUUGUCCUAUUCAUAUGUUUUUCCUAUCAUGUGAAUCAAAGAGGCUUAAUUGUUGUGCUACGUUUGUGUCCUUCGUGCUAUCUCAGUGUACACUACAUUUAUAGGAGUAAAUUGCACAAAAUCAUCACAUUAGAUGUCGUCGUCUUUAUACUUGACCACCGCUUCCGUUUUAUUUCAUUGCUAAAACCACCAUGCCAUAACUAAUCUCACCCAUCGGGGUACUCCCUCCUUUUCAAAAAAAAAAACUAAUCACACCCACAUGGUCGGUUCACGAGCUUUGAAGGCAAAUUUGGCAAUAUUGUUCUUGUUGUUCUUGUUGUUCUGGUUCUCGAUCCGGAGCACCACAUGAGUAGCAACGCCGACAUACUAGUGCCAUCGUCACAUGGUAGUUGAUCUGAAUUAGGGCAAGAUCUACGUCUAUUUAUUAAGAAGGAAACAAUUAAUUUGAUAUAAGCACCACGUUUUUUGUGGAAAAACAUACACGACAUGCCGACUACUCCCAAAAUAAGGGCAACAAAACAACCGGCGCGAGCUGUCUUGCACACACUUGAGGAGAGCAGCCUUCUCAUUCUCACCCCAAUGCAGAACACAUUUUUUACUCUUAAUAGUGUGUGCUCGGCGAGUUCACCGACUUUGAAGGAAAAAUUGGCAUGUGGAACCGACAUCUCAGCGCAGUUGUGGUUCCCGGGAGCACCACAGAGCAACAACGCAGACAUGCUAGUGCCAUCAUCAGAUGGUAGUUGAUCCGGGCUAGGGCAGGAGCUCCGUCUAUUCAUUAAGAUGGACACAAUUUGAUAUAAACACCUUGUUUUUGUGGAAAAAAACAUACAUGACAUGCCGACUACUCCCAAAAUAAGGGGCAACAAAACAACCAGCGCAAGCUGUCUUGCACUCACUUGACGAGAGCAGCCCUUCUCACUCUCACCCCAACGCAGAACAUGUUUUUUGAUCUAAAUAGGGUGUCCCCGGUAGUUCACCGGCUUUGAAGGAAAAAUUGUCGUAUCGAACUGACAUGUCAGCACAGCUGUGGUUCCUGGAAGCACCACAGAGCAGCAAUGCCGACAUGCCAGUGCCAUCAUCACAUGGUAGUUGAUCCGGGCUAGGGCAAGAGCUCCGACUAUUCAUUAAUUAAGUUCACCGACUUUGAAGGCAAAUUUGGCAUAUUGAACCGACAUGACAACGUUGUGUGGUCCCCGGAAGCCCCACGUGAGCAGCAACGCCGACAUGCUUGCCAUCGUCAGAUGAUAGUUAGUUCGAGCUAGGGCAAGAGCUCUAUCUAUUCAUUAAUUAAAAGAAUACAAUUUGUUAUAAACACCUCGUUUUUGUGGGAAAAACAUACGGAGUACAUGGCAUGCAGACUACUCCCAAAAUAAGGGGCAACAAAAGAACGGGCGCAAGCUGUUUUGGAUGCACUUGAAGAUCUGAGCCAGCCUUCUUACUCUCACCGACACGCAAAACACGUCACCGGCUUUAAAGGCGAAUUUGAAAUAUCUCGAACCGACAUGUCAGCUUGGUUCCAGGGAGCACAAAGGAGCAGCAGUGCCGACAUGCCAGUGCCAUCGUCACAUGGUAGUUGAUCCGAGCCAGGGCAAGAUCUUAGUCUAUAUUCAUUGAGAAGAAAACAAUUUGUAUAAACAUCUCGGAAAAAGACAUACACUACAUGAUGACUACUCCCAAAAUAAGGAGCCAAAGAACAACGGGUUUAAGCCAUCUUGUACGCACUAGAAGAGACCAGCCUUCUCACUCUCACCCGCAUGCAGAACACGUUUUUUUAACUCUUAAGAGUGGGUGUGUUCUUAUCUUGUUUUGAGAUACCUAUAAUUAAGUAAAAUUAUGAAAAAAAAAUCGUGGAUGCAGAUUUUAUAUGGGAUGCCACAUAAUAUUGAAGAUAUUCAUUAAAAGGCAAAAUAUGUUUUGGAAAAAAAAACAAAUUGUCAUAUUUUUGGAUGAAAUUUGUCAGGGUUGCACCUUAGAGCAUACGCAAGAUUUUUAAAAAUAUAUAAUUUUAGGGAACUUUGAGAUUGCUUAAAAUCAGUGUGCUCUUAUGACUAGAAAGUAUUUUCAACUGCCAGGACAAGGCAAAGAAGUAUUUCUAAACCUGAACAUAUAUUAAGUAUUCAGCUGCACCACUAAAUAUAAUGCGAAAAAUGCCUAAUUUCCAGUGAGAACUAGUUCUCAAGUCUCAACCUUGCUUGAGUUUCAUAUUUUAACCGCGCAUUAUGAAUGGUCCAAUUUUAGGACCCUGAAUUUGAAUGAUGAUUCUCUGCUAGUACCGCUGCAUGGGGCUCAUCCAACUCGCCAAUAGGCCACAUUCCCCUGCCUGGCAUGGUCCAAGGAAGCACCCUUAUUGCCAGCCACAGCCUGUCAGCCUCACAUCUUCAUACCUUUGAAUUGUAACAGCAACAAAGGCACAAAGCUAGCCACAGCCACAGCCACAGCCUGACAUGAUUCUAAUAACAGUAGGCAAGGACAGUUGAAGUCGUCAAAUUCAGUACAUCUUUAGUGUAAUGGUAUGGAUCGUGUUAUCAAAGUAUCAACAAACAUGUACUCCCUCCGUCCCAAAUUAACCGACAUGGAUUUGUAUAAGUUAAUUUGGGAUGGAGGGAGUACAUUUAAGAAGUUUUUUGUCUUGACUGAAAUAACUGUGAUUGAUUAAUUCUACACCCUGUUGAAGACCAUGCAUAUGACAAGCAUGUCCCGAAACAACUGUGAUUGGUCUUUCAUGCUCUUAAAUCACUCCAAAAAAAGGUGCACUUUAGGAGCACCCCUUAACAAAUUCGAAAAAAGGUGCACUUUAGGAGCACCAAAAGUCCAAAAGCAAGACAAAACAUGGAUUCGAUAUAGAAAACUUGGAAUAAAUACCAUUUAUGCCAGGACUUAACACUGGGAAUGCAAUAUUAGCUAUACAUUGAAGGCAGUUAACACCAACUGCGAAGAGGAACAGAACACAAGCUUGACAUCACAAAGUACUGUGUACUUGCAAUGCUGAAACUACCUCUACAUAUUGCAACGAAUUAUCUGGCCAUCUAGAUCAUGUCAGUUAGUCGUCAUAUCCAGAGGACAUUUGCUUUUGGUCAUGAUGUAAGCGUUCUGGUUGCUGAGCUAGGAAGCUUUGCGUCCCUUGACUGCAAACAAAAUAACAAAAUGUUAGAUGGUUUUGAAAUUUGUUACACAUGUUAAGAAGCAUGAUAGCAGAGGUCAUGAGCAUACCAGGGCUAACAAUCUUUAUCCUCUUAGUAAUCGCUCUGACAGAAGUAACAGAUGUGGCUCCUGCAGACAUGGGUAUGAAUAGAAGAUUGGUUACAACAAGAGUGAUGACAGGGUAAAUAAAACAAGACAGUAUGUAGAGCUGGCUCUGAACCUUGUGAAUUAAUAUCUUCAGUGGGAUCUGCUGUCAUUGGCUUUACUGAAUUUGGAAAGACUGGAUCUGCCAUCACGUUGUUAUCACUUGCAAUGGGCUGUAGUCUAAUGAUACAAUUUGCACAACAGAACCAUGUUAGCAUUUAUAGAUUCACCCAGGACAAGAAACUAUAGGCAGAAAACUAUAUCAUACCUUUGAACUUCAGCAUUUGAGGAAGGAUUCUCGCAGUGAACACCCACAUUAUCAAGAUCGAAGUCAAGUAGAAGUUCAGAAAGUGAAAAAUCGCCAUCAAAUAUAUCAAAGUUUGUGAAGUCAAUGUCAAAGUCAUCUUGCUUCUGUCCAUCAGAGGUAGAGUUAGUUGCCUUGUCACAAGUAAGCUCGGUUGAACCUGGCCUUGCAUCAGAACUGUCAAAAUCUAACCUCCCUUUCACAUGUUCCCUUUUUGAGGUUUUCUGGGUGCUUGAUUUUAAGGGGGAGCUGACAUGGUAGCUCCUCUCAACAGAAUAAUAGGUGCUACUGCCCCCCUUGAGAGGACUGACUAUUAGAGUCUUGGAAGAAACUAUAGAGCAUUGAGAGGACGCAAUCUCCUGAUGGGUGUGAACAUUUGGAGCCACAGAUGAUGAUGGCCUUGGUGCUUGAUGAGAAGCAGGCUCAUCUCCUAUGGGAUGGCUUUGUUGUGGUGUACAUGGAGAAGAACUGACUUGAGGCUGCAGCGGUUUGAAUAAGCUCUUGGCAACAGAUGAGCCUUGGGCCGGGAGCUUUGCAAUCCCUGAGUGUUCAGCUGAACUUGGCUGAGCAGUUGGCAGUUGAAGGGCACCAUUUUUACCUGGGAUCAGGACAUAGUAAAGUUAAUAUAUUUGUGAUGUUGCAGGAACUGGUAAUCAAAGAAUGCUACUCUCCAAACUUGUACCUGUUGGGUUCAAGCUAGUGGUUGGUGCAGUGCAUAUUCUCUUGGAGGCUGAAGUAGAUUUUGCAGCAGACUUUGUCACCUUUCUCUUCUUUGUAGGCAAAGAGCUAACUGCAGGGGUUGACAUGUUGUUGGCAUUUGAUGAAUUCUGAACAACAAGCGACGAGGAUGUCUGGGUGUAGUGUAGCAUAGGGGUAGCAUAUCCAGCGAUGCCAGCUGCAAUAAGAGCAGAAAAAGGGGACAGCGUUAAUUCGACAAUGAGUACUAGACCAGAGAAUGGACUGAAUAAGGUAAGCAUUGUCUCUUUUUUUUUAAUGAGGUAAGCAUUGUCUUGGUGACAUGUACAGGCAGAAUCAUAUAGAUAUGUAACAUGACUAGACUAGAAUGUCUGAGACCAUCUAAAAAAAGAAUGUUUGAGACCAUGUAAAAGGCAUUUCAAGGAAGUAACAAAGUAGUGCUAGAUGCUGCCAGUUUCACAUGGAAAUGCAAGAGUUGCCAAUGCACACAUAUAUCAGGAAAAAAUUGUUAUUGACAUAUGUUUUUUUUUGAAAACAUGUUAUUGACAUCUGUAUGAAGCUGUCAAAGCCAUAUGUAUGAUCCAUAUGUAUAACUAAUAAUGCAGUUUCCAGACAAAAGUAAUGAAACGCAGUUGGGAAACUACAAUUUGGAACACCAUUUGUGAAUCACAGGUUUGAGAGUGAAGAAGAAACAAAACUAAUAACAAUGCAGUUGGGGAGGUACUACAACUCAGAAGAGACUUUUGAGAACCAUGACAGGCAAAAAAUUCCCCUAAAAUUGUAAAGCAGAUUCAAGCAAACAUAAUGCAGUCUCUCUGUUUUGUGAGUAAGCAGAUGCAACUGCAAUUGAAGUAAUCGAAGAGUACAUCGCAUAGAGUAGAAGGAAAGCAUAACGUCGAACAGGUAGGGUGCAUCACAGGAGGAGCAUACAAAGGAAGCGAGCAAAAGAGGGGAAGUACCUGGAGGAGGCGGAGGCAUGGGAAUCUGAGGAGGAGGAGGAGCGGGAGGGGAGGAGGCGUUGGGGCGGACGAAGAAGGGCGGGACGAGCGGCGGCGAGGAAGGCGGCGGCCCGGCGGCGAGGAGGAGCGGGUUGGGCUGGUAGUAGGCGGAGACGAGGGAGUGCAUGGCGUGCAUGGCGGAGUCGACGGCGAGGCGUGACUCCUUGAGGGAGAUGUAGUCGUGGAGGAUGUCGGCGAGCGGGAGGAGGCCCUUGGGAGGGUUGCUGCUGGCGGCGUUCCUGGAGCCGAAGAGGCUGGCGGCGUCGGCGCGGAAGGCGGCGAGGGAGGCCGCGAAGCCGUUGUCGGCGAGGUAGCGCUCGACGAGGAAGGCCACCUGCAACGGGGUCACCUUCUUCUUGCCCUUGUCGGCGGCGUCGGAGGGGUUGGGGUUGGGCGGAGAGCUCGGCUUGGGCGGCGCCAUGGCUAGCUGGCUGGCUUGCUAGAGAAGAAGAAGAAAUCCUAGAUCUCGAUCUCUGUGUGUGCGCGUGGGCGGCGGUUUUUGUUGAUGGAUUUGGGAGGGAAACAUACAAGACGCGUAUGAAUGAAUCGCGCGCGAGCGAAUUGGAUUGAAGCGCCAUCAGACAUCCGAGCGAAAAUGAUUUUUCAUUUUCUGGCGCCAACUAUUUUUAGGGGUUGGCGCCUUCCUUCCUCUUGGCCCAACGGAUAGGCCUUCUCUGUCCCCUGGGCUGCAAAUCUCUUCUUUAUGGGCCGCAGACGUUCUUCUUCUUUUAUUAGUUUGAGAAAAUCUCUUCUUUCUGGGCCGCAAACCUACGCUGGUUGGAUUUGGUAAAACGGGGCAGCCUAUAAUACCUCUAACUAGGCUUUCGUCAGGUAUACCUCUAACGUGGCCUUGGACUAGCAUAGAUGGGCUUACGGACAAAUAUUAGGCCAAGUGCAACAGUUUUGCUUAAAUAUCUUCCAUAUAUCUCAAAAUGGGAGACUCUGCUAAAAAUAUUUUCCCAGGCCUAUUCUAUAUUUUAAGAAUUUUGUGUAACCACCAUUUGAAGCCCAACGGAUACCUCUCCAACAGCUAGGUUUUGAACGGCCGGAUUUCCAACGGCUAGUUUUUCAACAGCCGGAUUUCUAACGUCUAGUUUUUUUCUCUAUCAACGGUCGCAACUACAACAUGGGUAUUACCUUGCAGAUGGCAUAUAUCCGCGAUGGGCCACAUUCCUGAAGACAAUUUCAAAUCCAACAACUGAAAAGAACAAACAUUUUGCCCGAUGCCAAGAAACUUGUCGGAAGGAUGUUGAACGAGGCUUCGGAGUUCUGCAAGCUCGUUUUGCCAUUGUACGUGGACCAACAAGAUAUUGGGAUUUGGAUACACUCGGAGAAAUCAUGACAGCUUGUAUCAUCCCGCAUAACAUGAUAACAAAAGAUGAGCGUGACCGAUUUCAGAACCUGGGAGAACUGGUGACACCUUCUCGUGAAGAGGCAGCUACAUUCACUCAGUUUCUUUAAGCUCACAACGCUAUUCGAAACAAAGAAGUUCAUUGUCAGCGUCAAGUUGAUCUAGUUGAGCACUUGUGGCAGAUCUGUGGAGAGAUGUAGCUUUCAUAAGUGGUAGUAAUAAUGUAGUGUAUGAGAUCUUUUUUAACUCAUGGUGGGGUAUAAGCGGUGCUUGUAUCAUUUUCUACAUAAUGCAAUGUUUUUCAUUACUCCCUUUAGUUCAGAUCACAACACAUGAUUCCAACCCCAGAUUUGACUGAAACUGAAUUACAAUUUAACUAGCAAAAUUACAGUUCUAUGCUUCGUCUCCUUUCUAUUUCCUCCUCCCCCCCCCCCCCCCGAGCUCUUUGCUUCAUCUCAUUUCUUCCCCAUCGAGCCGCCCGCCCACGCCUCACCUCCGCAUCUAGAAGAAGCCUGCCCCUGCUCCUUGUCCCCAUCGCCCGCGUCUGGCCACCGCCACUCCCUUCUGGCCGCCCGCGAUGCAGAGCCGCCCCCACCCGCCCGCCCGCCCGCGCCUCACCUCUGCCUCUAGAAGAAGUCCGCCCCUGCUCCUUGUCCCCGUCACCUGCGUCUGGCCACCGCCACCCGCAUCUGCCACCCCAAAUCGAAGCAAGAAACUGAGAAAGGAUAAGGAAGGCAGGCACGUGGUGGCCGGAGGGGGGCAUCGGUUGCUCCUCGCGUCAAUAAGGGGAGGGAUCGGACUCCCCGAUCUAUAGGAGAGAAAGAGCUCUGGAUUGGGAACGUCAAAAUAUCGGGGAGGCUUAAUUCUGUUGUGUCCAGAAGCAGAUGAACACGAGCAGAAGUAACAGCACCAACUUCAAUACCUACUUACCCAUUUGAAACAACGCCUAAUUAAAGAGUACAUGUUCAAAUUAAACAAAAACAAGGGAAACCUCACGGCCAAUCCAUUGUGCUAGAUGUUGCUGGAUAUACUUACAUUUAAAAUGGUGACGAUAUUUAAUUAGUACUUUAUAUAUGAUUCAAAACUCUUAAACGAGGAAUUUACAUUUAAAAACGGUACAAUCAACAUUUAUAACUAAUAUGCAAAACCAGAGGGUCAUGCAGCCGCAGAAACAAACAGACAUCAUACGGCUUCAACCAUGCAACCGCAACUGACAGCUACAGCUGAUUUUGAGAGCUGCAGCCGUAGAAUCUGCAGCUGUAAAGAUGAAACCCAAACAAACACAACUUUAAGAGAAGCGAUGGAUGUCGUUUUUGGGCUUUUUCCCCUUAAAUUUGGUAUUGGGAUACUUUAGGUGGACUUGCUCUUCGCGUCGUGCUGCUACAAAUAGACAUAGGGAGUUUUCUUUCAGUAGUAUAGCAUACGGAGCUCGCAGUGCUACCAAGCCACGUGGAGCACCGAGCACACCAAGCAAGUUCUUUUUCUGAAUUUGACUCACUCUAUAUUUUUUUUGACCAAAUCAUUCUAUAUUCCUAUGAUGUUUAAAAAUAAUAAUUGUACGGAGUACAAAAACAUUUCUUUUGUUGUUAGGACAAGAAGAGGAGUAAAAAACCUGUGGAGCAAAGACCGUAACAGCAAACUGAGCACGGGCGCGUGAUUGAUCCAUGUCUUAAGUAGUAGCACCGUCGUUUAGUGGAGUGAGUGGGACGAAAUCGAAAUAAUGGCAUUCACGAGGCUUGGCUUGGCUUCAUGCCUUCAAGUGAGUAGUACUCUCCUACCUACAUGAGGGAUGGAGACGGAAUGGAGUGAGUGGGGCUAGGAGCGCAAGGGCCAUGGUUUGAGCUGGACCAAGGAAUUAACUGUCUGUAAAGGCUGAUGGCACGGCUUUUUUGUUCUCACUGCACUGCUACGGUAGUGCUGUUGUUUUCUUGGUUCUCUCACCUUUUCUUUCUUUUGAGAAUGGAGGUGACCACCCAAAAAGGAAGGGAGAACGGUGCAUGCCUGUAUUUUACUCUGUGCUGUCGUCGUAUGUGCUGGACUGGACGGCCACUGCCUCUCGUCAAUGAAUGAAUCGAUGGAAUCCGUCAUGUAAAAAAAUUUAAUCAACGAGUCAAGUGAAUGGUGUUGUUGAGCUUCCCGAGCGAGCUGCCUUCCACGACAAGUGCAAGUGGGGAGUGUGUGAGUGAGUGGAGCUCCAGGGGCAAAAAGCAAGGAACCGAGGAGCCAACACCGACCCCUUUCCCCAACCCCAAAUCCACUCCACUACUCCACUGUAAAUCUAUCCAUCUGGAUUCUGAGAUUGGGAGGAAGGAAUUUGAAGAAGCACUUCUUCCGAGCUUAGUUUUCUAUCGCCACGAGCUGGAGAAGAAGAAGAAGAAGAUAGGGCGAGAGCUCAGCGAAUUCGGAAGCCAAGUGCGCUAAGCAGAGCAACAACAAUGGUGCUGCCGCCGCUCCUCAUCCUCCUCCUGCUCCUGCCCUCCGCCGCAGUCGCGAGCAACAGCAAGGUCCGACACUCGUCCUUCGCCCUUGACUUCUUCCCCGGCGACGGCGCCCUCGCGCAGCUCGCCCUCACCGGCGGCGCCAACGCCACCUCCGCCGGCGCCAUCUCCAUGGCCUCGCCGCACGCGCGGGUCCAGUACCACAAGCCCAUCCUGCUCGCCAAAGCUGCCGGCUUCUCCACCUACUUCUCCUUCUCCCUCCAAAACCCCAUCCCCAAAUCCAAAUCCAAACCCCUCGCAGCAGGUUCCCUCAAAUUCUUCCUCGCCCCAGCAGUUUCCGCACCCACCGACGCCCUAGCCGUCGUCUUCUCCGUCGCCGACGUCGACCCCAGCCACGUCCGGGUCCAGAUCGACCUCCCCGGCGUCAACACGGCCGUCGUCCAGGCCCGGUUCUCUCUGCCCGUGUCCCGCGCCCAAAAGCUGCAUUCUUGGAUAGACUACAACGCCACCUCCGCCGCGCUCCAGGUCCGCCUCUCGUCCUCGCGCGUCCCCAAGCCGCCGCACCCGCUGCUCUCCCACCCGCUCCAUCUCCGUCCCCAAUCCAGCACCCGGAUGCUCGCCGGAUUCGCCUCCUCCCACGCAAACUGCAGCCUCUUCAGCUGGGCAUUCAAGGCCAGCUCCGGGCCCCCCUACCUCAUGCACUCCCUGCCCCUGGAUCCCACCGGCGGCAGCAUACUGCUCACCACGCCGCCGCUGCCGCACUACCAGCCCCCGCUGCCCUACCGCUACCACUGGCCGUCGCUGCUGCUCGCCGCGGCCUGCGGCGCCAUGCUCACCUUCUUCGUACUGUUCGUUUGGUACUCAGUGGCCACACGACGCCCCAUCGGCGUCACGCCCGUCGAGUACCCCAUGCACCCGUCCUCCUCCGACAUUGUCUACGAGAAGAUCGUGCUCGUCGGAGCCAAGGACCACCCUGCCAAUGCCGCCGCACCCGGUAACAAGUAGCCCGCCGCCAUGCUUAGAUUGUAUUGCAAGUGUGCUUGCUUCAUCAUCCUGUAAGUAGCGAAUUGUUUGCUUGGUACUCCAGUGUGUGCGGUGGAGACUGCAGAUUUUGCGGGCAAAGCGAACAACGCGAAUUCUGCACUUUCCACCGGGAUUAGAAUUCGGAUUUCUAUGUUGUAACUCAUCAUGUCAUCCACCACUGCUACUCUUUCAUACUCUUCUCCUUGUGAUGCUUAAUUAAUUAGUGAUGUGCUAGUAGUGUUCGAAUUCUCAUAUCUAAUGGAUCAUCUUAACUUGUUUUCUGGUGAAUGCAUUUUUGCUCUCGUGGUUGUUCCGACAGACAUGCAAAAAAAUGCACAACUUUGCUGCAUCAUGAAGACCUCAACUCAAUCCUGCUCAGAUAUUAUAUACUUCUCUCAACUACUGAAUGCACUCCCUGAUUUGCAAAAGUGCUAACCUUUUGGUUUCAAACGCAAUUCGCUAUACUACUUUAGUAGUUUCUUCUUUCAACUUGUGGGAGACUCUUUGGUGACAUAGGUCUGUCUCAAGUUGCCUAACAAAAUGCAGUUAUCUAGAAUCGAUUCUGUUGGCCAGAGCCACUUUGCCUUGAUAAAUUGUAGAAGGGCACAAGAGUGCUGGAAUCAUCAUGGGAGAUUUUAAGGAGGGGACUUAUUUAUUGUGUCCAUGCAUCGCGGCUUUCAGUUAGGAACCACUAGCAUUAUACAUUACGAAAUCCAGUGCUUGCUUCAGUUAGGUUGCAUUUCGGAAUUGGAUGCUGCUUUUUAGCUGGGCUAGUUACAUCUUGAAAAAGAAAUGUAACGACAAUAAUAUAUGAUUUGAAAGACACAACAUGUUAUUAUGAAAUAUAUAUAUCAACUCAGAAAAAAUGAUGCGAUGAAUGUUCUAUAGUACAACUGUUAUAUCCAAUAAACAACCUUUUGUGCUAGAGUUGGUGAUUAUGCUGGAAGAAAACUGCUCCUGGGAAUACAUUGGCAUUUGGUUGGUGAUUUUGUAUCAUGUUGUAAACAUCUCAACUUCUUUGGUAAUUGAUGCUACUGUGGCAGUUUCAAGUUUGUGUCUCAGCUGUAACUUUUCUCUCUAGCAAAACAGUGGGAGUAAUUCUGGAUUGCGAGAAUCUGGCAAUAUAUUGUUGACAAAAUGGAGGAUAUAGCUAUGCAUAACAGUAGCUGAUAGAUUCUUAAAAAACAGUAACUAAUAAUUUGUCAGGGGGAACAAGUUAAAACUGUUUUAUGGUGUUUGAUAUGUUCCUUCACUCCCUUGGUAGAAUCAUACUACUGUGAUAUAGAAAGUGUGCCCUCCCCUGUAAUGUGUCUUGCACUCUUGCUUGUCCCCUUUGAAAGAGUAGAACUUAAAUGUUCUCCAUGUGGUAUUUACUUGGUUUUUGACCCCUAAAUAAACGGGGUCACUCUUUCUGCUUAAAUGAAAGAUGAAAGGCACUGCUCCCACCAGUUCCUGAAAGAAAAUUCCAUGCUGUACUUGCCGCUGUAUAAUGGUCAGACAAAAGAUGUUUGUUGUCGCUAGUUUUGUUCUGUGAGCCGUUCAGAGUGUUUCUUUUUAAUGAUGUUCAUCAAGUACAAGAGUAGGUAUCUGGAACUAACAGUGUCAUAAAGGAAUGGAAUACUCCGCUUUCCUUCCUUCCUCUGGCUUUGCUAUUCAUGCAAUGGAGAGAUCUGUAGUCUGUACACCAAAAGAUGAAGAUUGCAUUUCAGAGCUGAACAUCUGGAAUCAAUGAUGUCAUGAAGGACUAUUGAUGUGAGUGCAGGAACGGAAUACUUUUGUUACCGUGAUGUGAUGAUGCACGGUUAGUUAUUGGCUCCUUGCUUUUGCUCUUGACCAUCCAAAUCAAUUCUGCACCCGGCCGAUCGAGUGCAGGAAAUGGAAAAGGGGCAUAUGAACAUGAUGCUGCACUGACAAAUUACACCCAUCAUGACUGAGUUUAGGUUAAGUUGUAGUACAAGCUAUGAUGGAUGGAUGGUUGGCGAGAGCUGCUUAUGGCUUGAUCCUAGGUUAAGAGGAGAUGACUAGGGGGCAUCAUCAUCAAGGAAGAAGAGAUGGAGCACCUACUCUACCCAAGUUGGUGCGAGAGAAAGGAGACAACGACCUGGUGCCUCGGUGCCUCCACUGCCACUGACGCUAAGCUUUAGAAGGAGGCGUCAGCUGAAUCUUAUGAAAGAUAGCAACUUUGCUCGUGUUUAAUUAAUUAAAGGAGAGAAAGAUCUGCCAUUGCGUUGCCGUGCACGUGUCAUUAGUCAUUAUGGGCCAUAGCAGAAGAAGAUGAUCAAUCAGUGGAGCAUCUGUAUUGGAGAGGAAAAAUUACGCAAGGGCGUAGACUUUGAAAUAAGAUGAUCGCCUGAUGUAAAGCCAGUGACUUUGUACGUUGUUACUGGCAGGUGCGUCACAGUCCAGAGACAACCCAUGGUAAAUUCAUGUACUGGGUAGAUACAUCUACUAGUACAUGUUUUCUUGGUUCCCUCAUACUCAAAUUUGUUGUUGAAUUUUCGACGAAAAGAUACUAUAUACUUGCUCUCUCCGUUCCAUAAUUCUUAUCUCAAUUGUCCCAAAAUUGAUGUAUUUAUUCUUAAAAUGCGUCUAGAUACUUUUAAUAUUUCGAAAGAAUUAUGGAACGGAGGGAAUACUUAUUUAAAACGAGAUAUAGUACCUCGCAGGUGUGUUUAUGUAAACGAGAAACAGUACUCUCUUCGACCCAUAUUACUUGUCUCAAAUUUGCCCAAAUAUGGCUGUUUAUGUCUCAAAUUUGGCUAAAUAUGAAUCUAUCUAUGUUUAUGUCUUAAAUUUGCCCAAAUAUGAAUGUAUCUAUGUUUAAAAAGCGUCUAAAUGCAUGUGAUAUUUCGACUAGUAAUAUGGGUCGGAGGGAGUAGUAAUUUUGAUGCUGGGAUCGUAGAUUUAUUGCCGUUGUAGAUUUAACCAGCCUGGAGUCUUUGCGAUGCCAACAAUCGCGGCAACAAACUAACUGACCAAACAGAAAAGAAGUCCAUCCUGCCUACGGACGGACGGACACACGCAACACUUAUACACACUUGUUCUUCCUCCCAUCUUCUUCUUCUUCUUCUUCUUCUUCCUCCCUCCCCCCUCCGCCUAUCACACACACCACUAGCUAGCUCCCUACCCGGCGGCGGCGGGGCGCAGCACUAGCCAGCUACAGCGUCCUCCCGCUGCCGCUGCCCUACUCUAAUCUCAAGCUGUCCCCUGCCAUCAAUCAUCGGACGCAUCGCCCGGAAUUAAAGAGGUGGUCUGGUGGUGGUUAGUGGAGGGGAGGGGAUCGAUUCGAUUCGAUUCAAUACUCUCAGCGAGUCAAAGCGCCACUUUUUUUCGUUUUCUUUCCAAUUCGUCCACUGAAUUUCGAUUGAUUGAACAAGAGAGGAAAGCAUUCAUUGGCUGAUUGGUUAAUCCAAAAGGGAGACGCCCCGCCUCCUUUCAGAUGGAUGUAAGUCGCCCCCUUUUUCCCGCACUGCUUGCUUUCUCCCUGCUUUUUCCCAGUAGAUUAUCAUAAUAAUCUCUGCAUAGCCCGGCGCAUAAACACCAACAGACCUAAAGCCUAUACUGUUAUAGAAUCCGAUGAAUGGACUGCUGCCUUUAUUCUGAGAUGGAUUGAUCGAUUCACGACUCCACUCCUUUUUGUUUAUCCAUUUAUUAUUCUGAGAUGGAUUGAUCAAUUCGCUACUCCACUCCUUUUUGUUUAAUUAUUUAUCCAUUUAUUAUUGUUAUUAUUUUAUCAGCAAUAUUACUACUGUUAUUAUUAUUUAUUAUUGUUCUUAUAUUUAUUUUCGGCAUCGAAAAUCAGACCUAAUGAUAUCUUUUUUAUUUUAUUAUGGAUGUGGAGUGCAAAGGAGGAAUUACUAUUCUUCUCUUUGAAGAACAAAUGGAUAUUUGUAGUGAAUAAUACUUUUUUUAGAGGCUACAGAUAAAAAAACAAAAUUCUAACUGUUAUACUUUUGCGACGUUGGCGGCUUCCCCUUUUUAUAGGCCACCAAGCAGCAGCAGCAACAGCACGACGAGGAAGCCCUUCCCAACUGUUUACCUUCUGCCUCUGCUUCUUCUUCCUGGGCGUCCACCUCUUCUUCCUCCUCUUGCCUGCCUGCUCCAGGGGACACCGACAGGGCGCCGCUACUGCCCACCAAGAUGGCUGAUGAGAACGGCAAGCAGGGCAGCGCCCGCGUCGACGUCUCCGAGGACACUGCGCACCAGAUUAGCGUUGGUAAUCGACUCUUCCUUCAUGACAACAACAAAACUCAAUGGUUGUCGGCUUAUGUUAAUCUUAUACUCUCUCCUUGUUCAUCUUUAUCACUCUGUUGUCAUCAGAUAUGUUCUGCUAUUUCGAAAUUAAUCCAAUGCCACAGCAUGACAAAAUAAAAAGAAAAUGCAGAUUUAAUCAGAUCGUUCAGUGAUGCCUCUCGUCACUGCUUCCAGUAAUUGAAUCUAGAAACAGUAUGAUACAAACCAUGCAAUCCCCUGCUCUGGGUUCAAGGCUGAAAAUACACCAUGAUUCACAUCAGGCUCCUUUCAGCUACUGAUUGUUUUCUUCUGAAUGCAGACCGUAUGUCCAUGAUCUUAAAUUAUCGCCUACCAUUAUAGUAACUCAAUACAGUAUUCCUGUCAUUUUUCAGAUCCUUGGUAUCAAGUUGGAUUCGUGCUGACAACAGGAGUCAAUAGUGCAUAUGUUCUAGGAUACUCUGGGUCGAUUAUGGUCCCUUUAGGCUGGAUCGGUGGAACAUGCGGCUUGAUCCUGGCUGCUGCAAUAUCGAUGUAUGCAAAUGCCCUACUAGGCCGACUUCAUGAAAUUGGCGGCAAACGCCAUAUCAGAUACAGAGAUCUUGCUGGACACAUAUACGGUACACAUUCGGGACACUGCUUGCCUUUUGUUUAUCUAAUUGUUUACUUACUAUAUUUAUUUGGAUUGAACUCAAAAUGCAAAAAGAUAGUUCUUAAUAAAAAUAGUUUUGUGUUCUGCAACAUAAUUAGUUACCUCUAUUUUUGCGACCACAGGAAGAAAAAUGUAUGCACUUACUUGGGCUCUACAAUAUAUUAAUCUUUUCAUGAUCAACACCGGCUUUAUCAUCUUAGCUGGCCAAGCACUAAAGGUAUGUUAGCAUCUCCACUACCACCUAAUCUGGUGAAUAUGUCCCCUAAUUUUCUCUGCCCACUUUCCUAGUUUUGAUAUUGAAAACUGUUCUGCAAAUCCAUCUGUUGAAUUUCUUUCCAGGGAAAACAUUUAAAUUUCUUGUGAUUGGCAAAGAUAAGCCUGUGAUGUUUUGUCCUCCAAUACUUAUUUGUGAUUUCCUUUCUCUCUCUCCAGGCAAUAUAUGUACUCUUUAGAGAUGAUGGACUUCUAAAACUUCCCUACUGCAUAGCAUUAUCUGGGUUUGUCUGUGCACUUUUUGCAUUUGGAAUUCCUUAUCUUUCUGCUCUACGGAUUUGGUUGGGAUUCUCCACAAUUUUCAGUCUAAUUUAUAUUGUGAUAGCAUUUGUGCUGUCGCUUAGAGAUGGUAUAUCCUUUGGUGCCUUGUUCGCUGCCUUUGCAUCUUUAAUACCAUAAUUUUGUAUGCAUUUCUGUUUUUUGCGGAAACAUGCACUGUGCUGUAGGUUUGUUCAACAUGAUAAUUUAUUGCAUCAAUUGAUUUUUUUUUUUGAAGGUAUAACUGCACCUGCAAAGGAUUACAGUAUUCCUGGAUCACAGUCAACUAGAAUCUUCACUACGAUAGGUGCUGUAGCAAAUCUUGUUUUUGCAUACAACACUGGGAUGCUGCCAGAAAUUCAAGUGAGUCAUCAGCGUAUAGGAGCAUGAAAGACGACUGACUAGUUUACGUGCCAUGAAAUUACCUUACAUGUAUCAUAUACAUAAAUACGUUGCAGGCAACCAUCAGGCCUCCUGUGGUCAAGAACAUGGAGAAGGCUCUCUGGUUCCAAUUCACCGUUGGUUCGUUGCCUCUUUAUGCUGUGACGUUUAUGGGUUACUGGGCUUACGGCUCGUCAACGUCAAGUUACCUACUGAAUAGCGUCAACGGCCCAGUUUGGAUAAAAAUGAUUGCAAAUCUCUCGGCCUUUCUGCAGACCGUCAUAGCAUUACAUGUAUGUCUACCUUGGUAGUUGCUUAGUCCAAACAUAAACCCAUCGUCAAUUCAAUGAACUAACAACUGAGUUUCUUCUGUAGAUAUUUGCAAGCCCAAUGUACGAGUACUUGGACACAAGAUUCGGCAGCGGCCAAGGUGGGCCUUUUGCGUUCCACAAUGUUGUGUUCAGAGUUGGUGUGAGAGGAGGCUACCUGACGGUGAACACGCUGGUGGCUGCAAUGCUACCGUUCCUCGGUGACUUCAUGAGCCUGACGGGCGCCCUGAGCACCUUCCCGCUCACGUUUGUUCUCGCAAACCACAUGUACCUGAUGGUGAAGGGGCCCAAGCUGUCUGGCUUCCAGAGAGGUUGGCACUGGCUGAAUGUUGUUGGGUUCAGCUUGUUGGCUAUCACGGCUGCAGUUGCCGCGCUUAGGCUUAUCAUGGCUGAUUCCAGCACUUACCACUUAUUCGCUGAUAUGUGAAGCCCCCUUUUUUCUAAUCAGUUUCGUGUAAUGUUUUUUUGGGGGUUAGGUAUAGUAUUUGAAGCGCUCAGUAUAUUGAAAUAAAACAGCAUCAUCAAUGAUUGAACGAAAUUAAUGUGCCAAUAUAUUUGGUUGGCUAAAUUAGCCUGGCCUGAAAUCGCACUGUAUUUGGACAAGUUUUUGUGCAUGAUCGCUGACUGGUUUACUGGUACAGAUUAGAAUGGUUGCCGUUGGAUGGUCCAGAUCGCCCCAUACGGGUUCGCUUAAGAUUAAACACAGCUACUGAAGACUGGAGCUUUGAGAUGCGAAAAUUCUAGUAGUGAUUUUCUUACAAAAAAAAGAAUCAACAGCUGAAGAAGAAACAGUUUGUUGCCUAUGAAUGAAUGAUGAUGAAUCAACACAAGAGUGCUUGCUAAAUGCUAAUCAACCGGUGCUAGCAGUAUCGAUCUGCGAAGAAGGCUCGGCCGUCUUGUAGACCUUGUACUUGUACCACUUUGCGAUCCAGAGGUAGACGACGAAGUUGAGCACGCUGAGCGCGGCCAGCAGCCAGAAGAAGUAGUCGAGGUGUCCCUUGUUGAGAUUGUCGGGAAUCCAGCCGAUCCCGCCGUUCCUGGUGGAGACGGCCGUGACGAUGACGACGAGCAGCGUGCUGAGGUAGUUCCCGAGCGCCGCCGACGUGAGCGAGAGCGCCGCCCCGAGGCUCCUCAUGGCGUCCGGCGCCUGGUCGUAGAAGAAGUCGAUCUGCCCGACGAAGACGAACACCUCGGCGGCACCGACGAUGAAGUACUGCGGCACCUGCCAGAAGAUGGAGACGGGCAGGAAGUCCUUGGAGUCGAGCAUCCCGUGGCUUGCGGCGGCGCGGAGCCUGGCCACCUCGAGCACCCCGGCGGCGAUCAUGGAGAAGACGGAGAUGACGAGGCCGAUCCCCAUCCGCUGCAGCUGCGUGAAGCCGCGCGGGUGUCCCGUGAAGCGGCGCGCCACGGGCACGAUGAGGCGGUCGUAGAGGAUCGCCCAGAAGAUGACGCUGAUGGUGUCGAAGAUGGAGAGCGACGCCGCCGGGAUGGAGAAGCGGGAGCCCAUGCGCGGGUCGAGGGUGUUUCCCUGGAGCACGAACAUGGUGCUCAUCUGGCUGUACACCGCCGCCAUGACGAUGCCGCUCGCCCAGACGGGGAGCAGCCGGAUCAUGGCCUUGGUUUCCUCCACCUGCGUCACCGUGCAGAGCCUCCGCGGGUUCUCCAGGGUCACCACCGCCGCCCUGUCCAGCCACCGGAGCUGCUCCGUGUGCGCCAGCUUCCUGAUGCCGUCCGCUCCUGGCGGCGUCUCGUGGAGGUAGUCGGCGGGGAGCGGGAGGUGGGAUUUUUGCAAGGCCAAGACGACCACCUCCCCCAUCCUCCGCAGCGGGCUGCCGCCGGGCUUCUGGUAGCGGUAGAGCCUGCUCCCCAAGAGGAAGCUGAGGACGGCGACGGCCAUGGCGGCGGCGGGGAUGCCGAAUCCCCAUCCCCAGCCGACGUUGGUCUGGACCCAGACGAGCACCGAGGACGCCACGAGCGCGCCGACGUUGAUGGACAUGUAGAACCAGUUGAAGAAGGAGCCCUUGCUGCGGAGCUCGCCCGGGUCGGCGUCGUCGAACUGGUCGGCGCCGAAGGAGGACACGCAGGGCUUGAUCCCGCCCGUGCCGACGGCGAUCAGGUACAGCGCCGAGAAGAAGGCGGCGUUCUGGCCCCGCGAGGGCUCGCAGCCGGCGCAGGAUCCGGGGGGCUUGAGGCCCGGGACGGCGGCGGAGGCGGUGAGGAGGGCGAGGCCGGCGAUGUAGAGCGCCAUGAAGGCGGCGAUGGUGCGGAAGCGGCCGAGGUAGGCGUCGGCGAGGAAGGCGCCGACGAGCGGCAUGACGUAGCAGGUGCCGGACCAGUUGUUGACGUUGGCGGCGGCGGCGGCGUUGCCCUGGUGGAGCUCCGAGACCAUGUAGUUGACCAGGUUGGAGCUCAUGCCGUAGUAGGCCAGCCGCUCGCAGCACUCGUUGCCCAGGAUGAAGGGGCACGCACGCCAGCCCCCCGUCUUGCGGCGCACCGCCGGCUUGCCCGAGAAAUCCACCGUCCCGUCCAUGGUCGUCUCCGCCGGCUUUUCUUCUUGAUCGUCACGCGCCGCCGCCGCCAUCGCCAUCAGAUGAGAUCGAUCGAUGCUGCUAACCCUCGAUCGGUCCUCCUGGCCGGCCCGUAUAUAUAUGUAGCACGAGCCUACUGCUAGCCUGGCUCUAUUAGAGCCGGUAUCCCGAUCUGGCUGGGCCUGGGCCUGAAUCCACGACAGCCUGCAAUGCAACGCUAGCAUUUCGAUCACGCUUUGUUGUUUCUGUCAAUGCUGUCCAUUUAUUUUCGUAAUGAUUAUUCAUUGAACGUUGUUAUAUGUUGUAUGGACAAUCUUUUUACGUAUUAAGAUCUAGAUGCUUUCUGGUAUAGAUACAUCCAUAUUUAGGGAAAAUGGAGUCAUUUAAUAUGGACGGAAGAAGUGGUACUUACUGCUUCCUCCGUCCAACAAAAGAUGUCUCAAGUUUGUCAAAAUUUGUAUGCAACAAACGAUGUCUCAACUUUGACUAAAUUUGAAUGCAUCUAUACACUAAGUCAUGUCUAGAUACAUACAAAUUUUGACAAACUUGAGACAUCUUUUUUGGAUGGAGGAAGUAUCUGUCAUCUGUGUGGAGUAGCAUGCUGUAAAAAAAAACACCGUAGAGUAGCAUGCAAUGCAGUUAUGCAAAUGGGCUUGGAUACGGACUUGGAUAUGGACUUGGGCUACCUCCCAGUCUUACUAGAUACGGUAUGGAUUUUGUCGUGUCUAGAAGAGUUGAAUGAACACAUGGCCCCUUAACUUGAGGAGCAUGUGCAAUUCGGUCCUCGAACUUAGAUUUCGGGCGUGUUCAGGAAUUAAAGUCGGAGACUGCGCCACGCGAAAGAGAAGAGAAUAGGGGGCUGGGGGCGGCGGAGUCGCAGGGUGGACGAAGGGAGUUAGCCAGUUAGGUUGGGUGCUAGGGUUUUAGUUGGACUGUAUUGGGCUGGGCCGAAUUUUGGACUUGGGACUGACAUGCGGGGCACAUAUGGUGAACCGGUUUCCGGGUUCGGGCAAGACACUACUAGACCCGGACCCGCCGGGUCAAAAAAUUCCCCAUUUACAAACCUACGGGUCUAAUUCUUCCCCAGACCCGCAUGCUAAUAGGGUCUAGACCCGUCGGUAAUCGCGUUUCGGGUACCCAUUGCCAUCCAUACCGGUUGUAGAUGAGUUGUAGGCUAAGGAGACGAGCAAUAUUUCAGAGAGGUACAAAAAAAGGUGAUACCAAAACCCCCUAGAUCAGGUGAGCCAAAUGGAAUAUGUCCCUCUUAACACCUUAGGUCGUUUACCCCCACAAGACACAUAAGAAGGCGGCUCUACACUAUUUAUUGUUUGCAAGAAGGACACAAAUCUGUUAUAACAGUUUAUCAGAAUUACAAAAUCCCUAAAACAAAAAAAAGUUAUAUCUUGGUCUUCGGACCACUGGACGUCAUAACGAGUUAAUGAUGCGCCAGUGUUGCCGCUUCCCUGUCGGAGUCGGCAAGGACUUGUCAAUGACACCUAGAGAGUCUCUCAUGCACGUGCCCAUAAGGACCGGCUUCCUGAAGCCGCGGUCGUCGUUGUCAAACCAUUGAAUGGUUCGAAAGAGCUGGCACCAGAUCUCGCCACGCGUGCAUGGCCCUCGCCCACAGGAAAACUCUAUCCUUGCCGCCCUGAGGGGACGACAUGAAUCUACGACGACACACUCCAUCGAUUCCGUCCUAACAAACGAACUUGCAAGGAAUUGGAUCCCGAAAUACCAUCCCGACGACGAGGUGCUGCCUCUACGAGUAUCACACCAUCUUCCACACGAGGUUCCACGGUAUACCUUGCAACACAACUAGGUCCCUAAACACAACCAUGGAUUGAGAUGGGCGGGCCCCACGUGCACCUAGAUCGGGCCCACAGCCCUGCAAUCACUCGCUUGGAAAAUAUCUUCUCUUGCCUUUGCCUUGGUGGUCUAAAACAAAAGUCCAUCCAUCCCCGUGCUUGGCUUCGUUCCCCAUCUCUUCCUUUCGCCUCAUCGCCAUCGUCUCCCCCGAUUCCAGCAAACCAAACCCUAGGCUACGAUGGCCGGAGAUCGUCCCCCCUUCCCCAACCCCGACGGAGAAGACGACGACCACCAACCGGAGACCUCCGGAUCGGAACCCACCCGAGAAGACCCCACGUUGCCCCUGCGCCAGCAGCUCGUCGGGGCCUGCCGCGCCGACGAUCGUCUCAGGCCCCUCCUCACCCUCAACGUCUCCUGCUCCCCCGCCGAGAACCGCUUCAUCUCCCACCUCUCCCAGGUAGCUUUAUCCUCCCUUUCCCUAGCCCCCCCUUCUCUUUUACCGCAAAAAAACGCUGCUCAUCUCCCCGCUCGCUCCCUGCAGCACUUCGAGGUCUCGGAGGUGGGCCUGCUCGCCAGAUGCCUCUGCGUGCCCCUCGUCUCCCUGCGUGUCGGCAAGGUCGACCGCCACGGGGCCCUCCUCUGCCCAACAACCAUCAGGUAGCAAUCCCCUCAAUCAUCCAUUCAUCUACUCGAUAGUCGAUACAAUAGCAGCAUUCCAUUCGGAUUUGCUUUCUCAUGACAUUUGUUCCAGCAAUCAAAAGGAACACUACACUACACCACGCAUGAUGAUGGCUUCUCUUGGUAGAUUUGCCACCAUUGUCUUGUACCAAACGAUGGUAUGGUUCAGUUUGUAGGGCAUGGCUAAUUGCUCCUUCUUCUGCUAGUACCAUCUAAAGCAUGCCACACUCAACUACAUAUCAUUCAUUUCUGAUGAAACUGCGUCAAUUCCAACCCAACCCGCUGGGAUGGCCAAAACCUUUGCCGACAUGGCUGGCUUGUUAUCUUUCUUCUUCUGAAUUAAGUGUGCUUUAUAUACAACAUAUCAUCUGUUCCGAUUACAAAUCAAAAUAGUUACUGAUCCGGCAAUGGAAUUGAAGUUUUAAAAAGAAAUGCAUCGCCAUGUAGUUGUAGUGGCGAUUUUGGAAAAAUAAUAAUUUGUUACUGUAUCCAUAUGAUGUGGUAAAUAUAGUGCCCAGUCUAUGUCCUUGUAUCAUACUCAUGCACAGAAUUAUGUUGGGGCAACUUAGGUCAUCAGACUGUUGCACUUCAUGUCACUAGAGCCUACUCACAAGGAUCAGGUGCAUGGAAACUAGUGUUGUGAUUCAGUAAAUUGUUUGCUACUACUAUCUCCAGUCUAUAUCAAACACAUCAUUCCUCUUCUUCUUUACUCACUAUGCCCUUUUCAUGCCAGUACCUCAAUCCAUCACAACUUUGUUCAUGCAGCUACUCCACCGUGUUACAGUAUGCACUACUGCAUAUUAUUUUUUAUUCUUGUGAUUAUUUCUGCUAUUAAGCACCUUUUCUGUUUUCAACAUCGAUAUGGCACUUCUUGUUCUUCUCUUUUGUACUUAAUGACAAAUAAUAAUGUCUUUGGAGGAGAGGUCUUUUCAAUUAUUCCCGCCUAAUUAAGAAGAAUGCAUGCAUGCUAGAGAUUGUUGAUUCUAGGAUUACAUGUUUCAUCUUAUAAGUGAUGACAUUGUUCAUCUACCAAAUAAAUAUAUGUUUCCAUUUGUAGGUAAUUUGGGCAUGUGUCAUAAUCUCUGAUAUAUGAGGAAAGAGAAGGUAGUUUCUUUCAUGGCCUUAUGGUAUUGUAUUACCUGCAUUGAUAAUGAGUAAUCGCACACAUUACAAUUUCAGUCUUAUAUGAAAUUUGAUUAAUAGGAUUCCUGCCGAUAUGAUGCUUUAGAUGCUUUUUUCCUAAUGUUGCUAGUCUGAUAACUUAUUUGUUGAUGUUGCAACAUACUUCCUGUUGUUCUUUGUAUGAUUAUCUUGCUCUGCGGCUUUAUGUGUGUGUUUGGUGGUUGCAGCUAGCCUAUUGCAGGUUCCUCCUGUGUUAUUAUUUUACGCACUAGUUUAUUACUUGUUUCACUGUGGACAUCUCGUGAUCUGAACAAAUGCAAAAUUUGCACGCAUCGAUGUUUAUUCUAAAUCUGGCUAUCUUAUGCUUAAGAAGUUGUUACCUUCAUAGAUUGUUUUGUGUUUGAUAGCCAUAUCUUCGUCUUUCUCUCUAUAAAGAUACCAAAUGUGUACUUGAUUGAGGUUUUACCCCUUAAAAUGGGUGUUUCGUUUGCACUUUGCCCUAAAUUUUUGCAAAAAAAAAAAGUUCUACGGAUACUGUCCUUCACAUAUUGGAAUGUUGUUCUAGAUUUGCUCAUGUGCAAGUAGAAUCACAACUGGCCAGUUAUCUGACUUGUUACUAAGCAUGGGGUAAUUGUAUCAGGGGUUUUACUGCUCAAAAUUAUUAGAUGAUGCAUGUUUCUUAUGGGCUCAUGUCGAACAACAGAGGAAACUAGUUGUCAAGCGCUUCGCCCCUAGACUAUUUGUAUCCAGUUCUCUGACUUUGUCAAGCACUGAGCAACUAAGAUUUUGCGGUAGCCUCCAACGCCUCUGGUGGUAAUAUACUCCCUCCGUCCCAUAAUUCUUGUCAUUGUUUUAGUACAAAUUUUGAACUAAAACAACAACAAGAAUUAUGGGACGGAGGGUGUACUUGUGAUUUUUCCAUGGGUUUUACAUUCAGGGGUGUCUGCAGUUCACUUCCUUUUACUAAUAACCUUCGAUUGUGUUUUUACUGAAGUUCCUCUGAUCUGAGAUUUCAUUUAGUUGAUUUCUAUCAUAUUCUUUUUGUUUUCUACAGUGCUUCUGUCGGAGCAAGCAUCUAACUCAUUGUGAUGCUUUUUGUUAGAAAAAAAUCUAUAUUUCAUUGUUUAUUAGAGUAUUUCUAUGUUAUUUUCAUUGGUCACUGUAGGAUCUCACACGUAUGCAUUUCCUAUAUACAGAGGGAAGCUGAGCCUCGGUCUUCUGCCUUCAUCGAGCAUGCGCCUUACCUUCUCUGGUGACGAUGGUCAUUCGGAGCAACUAGCUCUCUUGAACAAUGGCUUUGAAGUUUCAGAAGUUCGAAUUGAGGAAAUAUCAGCUGAUAAUUCCGGGCGUUCGUUCCUAAUAAGGAUUUCAGAAUCUAAAAUAUUUUACUACUGGUGCGCUGAAAAGUCAAAGGAGUGCGGAAUGGAGCUUCUUGCAAAGGUUUGUACUCUAUAGUGGCUACGAGUUUCUGACGUAAAUGUACAAUGAACCACGUGUGAUCUUGACGGUUGUGCAACAUGUACCUCGGAGAGCAUACUGCAGCAACUUAGCUGUUAAGCGUAAAGACAUGAAACUAAAAUUGUAACAUUAAUUUAAUCUGUUAUUCGAAAUAUGCAUGUACAGAAAAGGAUGUUGAUUCUCCCUAUCAAUUUUUUUUUGACACAGAUGAAAAAUCUACUUCAGGGCAGGCCAACCUUGUCUGAUCUCACUGGCAUUUCCGAUUCAAGACUGGAUGCUUUUGUCACUAAUUUACAUGCGUAUCUUCUUGCACAAAGUGCUGGAGACGUUAAAUCGUUGGGAUCAUCUAAUGACUUCCUGAGUGCUUCAAGCUCACACGGUCAACAUCUGCAAGCCCCAUCAGUCGUUUCCAAGUCUUCAAGGUUUCGCGCAUCUGCAGCUAAUGCAACAAAAGCAAGCUCAAUCUAUCAAGCCAGUCUGAGUCCCAGGUCCAGCACUUUUAAAGAUGGGGUGCCAAGGGUCUCUUGCACAAAAGUUGGGAGAGAGAAGCUGAAGCGGCGUGGGGAAUGGUUGGGUCCAUUACCUGCUCCCCUCGAUGCAAAUCCUUUGAUACCUAAGGGUGUUAGCACUGUUUCAACCAGUGAAGUGUGUGAUGGGGAGUGUUCAGAAAAUAGUUUGAUUUCAGCUCCUUCAGACUUGCCUCUUUCAUUUCCCUUGCUGCCAUCUCUUUAUCCUUUCGCAACUCAAUGUCCACUCCCAGAGGGUUCUUCAGAGAACCCGUUUAAGCCUUACUAUUGCUGGUGCCCACCAUGCCCGUCAUCAUUGCAGUACGGUGUAACCUCUCUACACAUGCCAAUUACAUCUGUAGAACCGUUGUCCCAACCACCUUUGAGCUCACUGGUAUCAAAUAAGCAGCCACCUGUUUCAUCACUUUCCGCAAAACUGGAUACAACUGAUCCACCUUCACUUAAUCUUCCAUCGAUAUUGCAUGAUCCUGUACUUCACCUGCCGCUUCCUACUUCAACACUUGUUCCGCUGCAUGGUUCAAUGGUUUCAACCCUUCCUUUACUUCAUCUGCCAUUUCCUACUUCACCACUUGUUCCUGGGCAUGGUUCACCGGUUCCAACAUUUCCACUGCUUCGCCUCCCACUUCCGACUUCACUUGUUCCCCUACAUGGUUCGCAGGUUCCAACAUUCACACCAUUGAUGUCUGAUCCUAUUGUGCAUGUCCCAGCUUUUGAUAUGUGUUCUUCUGGCCAAGCUUAUCUGGUGAGUUGUGGGCCUUCUAUAUCUUCAGCUGUUCCCCUGCUCCCCAGCUUAAAUCCUCUGAUUCCAGAACCAGAAUUGCUGGUUGAGAGGAGUGCUAGGGAAACGCUAAUGAGGCUCAUAGCUUCAACACCACCGUCAAGCAACCCCAACUUGGUCAACAUUCUCCCUGCAGUCCUGACUGACGUGCCUGAAAGCAUUUCUCGAUCUACUAAUGUAAGUCCAGAGAAAUGUUGUAGCUCAACCCAGUUUAACAUUCUUUUCAUGUGGCUUAUCUCUGCUUUCUCUGUUUAAUAGGUGAACAUGCAUGUUGGUGUCCAUCGCAACGACGUACUUCUCAGUUCAUCCUGGGGUGCUGAUGUGAUUGGAAGUGGGAUUGCAGCCAUGGAGUUGCACUCGGAGGAUGAGGUUUCCAGCGGACAUGACGCCCACGCAAUGCUUUCGUUUACGGAAUUCGAUGACAUCAAUGGAGACUCUGAUCAGCCUCAUUUCCGCCGAAUGUAGUUGUUGCAACAGUUUGGCACCAAGAUCAUUAUGAAAUGUCAGAAUAUUUUGAGCAGCAGUUGUAUCUGCAUGGCAACAGGCUAUAUUGUUUUUUGGUUGGCGGUACAAUCUUAAUGUAUGUGGCCUGUUUUUUAUGAUGUCUCUGCCCAGCUGAAAGGACAAUUUGGUUGGUAAAUGUAAUUAUUUGUCUGUACUUUAUUUUGCUUUGGCAAACAAACGGCAAAGCUGGUAUUUUGCUCGUUUGCGACUCUUUGUUCAUGUUAUGAAGUUGGUACUUGUACUUCUCUUACAUAUGGUGCACGAUAGUGUUUGUUGGGACUAAAUUUGGCACAAAUGGACCUUUCACACGAUGCAAAAACGUAAACUAGCUGAUAGGGAGCAUGAAAGAAGGCAGACAGUGGGAGAACUUUUACAGACGCACUGCAUGGGAUCUUUUGAUGUACCUUUUGGUUCUUACAAUUCACCGGACUAGCACUGACCAAAACAAUAGAAUCUAUCACCGGACAAACCUAGCUUGGUUAACUUGUCUUUACCUCCAACUUACUCGAGCAUGAUUCUUUCUACCUUCUUUUUCUUUCGACUGAACCGAUGGAAUCAACUCAGCGAUUGAUUCUGGUAACUGAAUACAAUGAAUCUUCUAUGACUGGUUCGCAGGAGCUGGCCUGAAGAGACCCCGGAAGAGCCACUGGACGGGUCUCAGCAGCUGCGAUCUCUUCUUACGCCAGAACCAGAUCGCCGCGCUGUACUGCUCGUUCCGGAUCUUCCUCGUCGCCGCCUUCCAGUCGAACUUCUCCAUCUCCUUCCUCGCCGCCUUCCCCAUUGUCUGUCUUAACUCUUCAGAGGAUAGGAGGCGUUCGACCUUGCCGACGCAGUCAUCCACAUCACCUGGUGUGUACAGAAAGCUGGUCUUCCCCUCCUGAUCUUCAGGUAUAAUGUCAGGUAUCCCUCCAGCUCGAGCAGCCACCACUGGAACUCCGGAUGACAUUGCCUCCAACACAACGAAACCCAGCGUCUCUGACUCGGAAGGCAUCACGAACACGUCCCCGCUUGCGUAGGCCUGUGAUAGCUCCUCCCCUUGUAAUGUGCCCGUGAACACUGCCGGCAUUCCUGAGAACAUCUCUUCAAGUACAGGCCUGCAGUGGAAGGCCGAUAAUGUUGAACAAUGCCUUACUAUUGUUGCAAGCGACUUUCAUUCUCUCUCAACAAAACAACAAAUAAGCAGCCCCAUGUUUGUUGCUUUUGCUACUCAAUGAAGAGGCUAACUAGUAGUAAACUAGUUAUCUACUUAGUAUGAGAUAACAAUGCAAACCUGAAUGGUCCAUCUCCAAUAAAUGCAAUUCUCGAUCCUGGAAGUCUGUCCAUGACUCUGGAAAAUGUAUAACCCCAGGUCAGAGUGAAUGACACUUGGCGAACACAGGAUAUGACUCAAUCACCCAAGUGCGGAAAAAGUAAAGGCUCAUCAAAAGUAAAAUUGUGUCAAUAGAACAUUAUGGCAAGACAAAUGGGAACACCAGCCGUAAGUAAGGUUUCUGUCACACACACCAUUCAUUCAGUUUACACCAAAGCAUUUAAAAAUCAGAUACGCCAUGAGCUCACCUCUUAUGAAAAUCCAAGCUCUUCUCAACUCCUAAGCGUCCAACAUAGAUUAUCAGUGGCUUGUCUGGUUCACCAUUUCUGUUAUAAUAAAAGAAGCAUUCAAGAGUUAGACAUAUGAAGAAUAUACUAGUUCAUCUCAAUUCAUUCAGCAGUUUUCUAGGCAAGAACCAUUAGCAGCAUGGCAAAUGCAUAACAGAUGGACCAGCUGAGCAAAACAAGAUUACAUACGUUAGCCUUGAACGCAUUUCCUGAUUACGGAAACGGGGAUGGAAGCUUUCUGAAUCCACACCCUUGUUCCAAAGCCGUAUCUUAUUGGCUGGAAACAUGCACUGUGAGAGGAUGAUAUUUGAAGUACACAAACAUGGUAGCAGUAUGUAUCUUUUAUGCAAACCUGCUGUAACACGGGCAGCUUGAAGAUCCCUGCCGAUAGCAACUGAUGGUACCAGUGUGAGAUCGGCAGCUCGGUGCAAAAAUUCUUUAGCAACAGAAACGUUAUCAGUUGGCUAGUCUGGCAAUAGAAGUUAUGUGUUUGUUGUACAGUACAUGAGUGAAAACUUACUUAUAACUAGCCACAUGGGCUUGACAAGCCAGCUGAAUGUAUAUCUGGGUAUAUAACUGCCAUAAUUAAAAAGGAUCAGAUUGGCAUUAGAAAAAUUCGUCGAUGGCAUUUUUCUUCGCUAGGAGCGGAAGAUUAAGUGUUCCAGUGGAGUUAGCCUAGAUGGUAAGAGAACAUAUUUCAGUUUUGUUUCUUUCAAACUUUCAAAUUGCAGUUGUGUUGGUUGCACAAGAUUAAGUUUUCCAAAAUGGGUGGUUUGACUUUGAACUGACAACUCACAUUGGAACAUGAGUGUGGUAGGACAUUACUAGAGGAACGCAGAGCAGCUUUGCGAUGAUUAGGGCGCCAAACACCUGUGGAUUUAGAGUGCAUCAAGGAAGAUACUAAUAAUUAAAUUGAGGGAUUGAUUGGGAAAAGAAAGGAAAGUGCUUGGAAAUAGCAUCGCAUAAUGCAUAUGUACCAUGAUUCCAGGGGACGAAGCGUGGAUAAUGUCGGGCUUGAACCUGGCGACCUCCCCAAUGAUCCUGGGGCUGAGGGCGAGGGAAAGCGGGACCUUGUUGUACCAGGGGCAAGGGAAGCUCCAGGAGCCGACGAGCUUGGCGCCGUGGAACUCGGCGGGGACGCCCUCGUGGGUGGUGACGACGAUGACCUCGUCGCCCAUCUCCCGGAGGUACUUGAUGAAGUUCUGGAAGCGGUUCUUGUAGCCGGAGACGUAGGCGAAGGGGGAGGGCUCGACGAAGAGCGCGAUGCGGCGGGGCCGCGAGUCGGCCUCCGAGGUCGGCGGCGGAGGCUCGUCGCCGUCGUCCCGCAGCAGGACGGGGGCCGAGGAAGCAGAGGAGGCACUAGUGCAUCUACAUGAGGGGAAUGGGAGACGGCGUCGGAGAGGGAUGAGGGUCGUCGCCGCCUUGGGGCUCUCUCUCGGAGAAAUCGGAGGAAGAUGCGGCUUGGGGACGACCAGGAUGGACGCCGCCGCCAUCCUUGAUUCCUUGAAUCUGAAUUCGGACAAGAUCCUUACUCACUUGAUUCACUUGCAAGGGGAAGUGAAGAAGGAGGAAGAAGAAGAGCCCAAGCAAGAGGCGGCGGGCCAAAAUUCCGAGUUUGGCUGCUUGUUGGGGAAGAAAGGAAGCAUAUGCGAAUGCCUCGAGUAGCAGAUGCUUGGCUCGCAGGAAGAGCAUAUUCCGAAGAGAACACAAAAUCCGCGAGUAACAAAUGAGUAAUUUUUAUUUUCCUUUUAUUUUUGAGAUGAGAAUUUCACAAAAAGAGCCAAACGAGCUCCUCCAAUCCCAGGAAACAUUUGUGUCCGUUUCCAUUUCCAUGUGAGAUCCUCAUUAUCCGAUUCCAGCCAAUCAGCUUCCAACACCCAGACUGAAGAAACCACUCAAGCAUCAUCUGCACCUCCCAGCCAAGGCUUUUUUUUUUGGUGCUUCAAGGGAACCCAAAGCAGGCCACUUCUCGUUGGUCUUUGUGUUCCUCUGGGCUCAAUUGGAACAUCUUACUGGGCCUGAUAUUCCUUUAUUUGUGGAUGGGCUAGUCUAGGAUUAUCUGGAGAAGAAACGUGCAGGGCUGUGGGCUCAACUCUCUUGGUCUUCUCUUCUUCUUAUUAUCAAAAAAAAAAACUUUGAACAGCGGAGCCAAGCACAGAAAAACCUUUGCGGUCGUCUUUUAAGAAAUCUUCAAUCGUUAGCGAUUGCUCUCGUCUCCGGUAGCCAAUCUAGCAUCGAGAACGGGGGAAACCUCGGAUCAUUCAUGCAUUAUUUUUAAUCUUUCUUGUUAGGCUUGUGUUUCAUUGGCGGCUGAGACGACGACGUUGUUUAGAAAACGGUCUGUUGGCUCCAUCCUUGUCCUGGUGUAGGUGCCGCGGCCUAUUCCGUGGAAUCGGCGCUUCUUGCGGUUUGCCUUUUCAUGGUUUGGUUCUCGAUUUAUCGACGGAGCAACGGCUUGAUAGUUUUGGUGUGCACGGCAAUUUUAGGUUCCCGGUUCCUGAGGUGAGUGUUUGUGCGGGUUUUCAAAGCCUCCCAGGCAUGUAGUUAUGUAAUUUCGUCACCGGAUACACAAAGAAACAAUCAUGAUGCGGAGGGUGGAUCUAGAAACGUUGACUUUGAAAGAGCAUGAUGAACAAAAGAUGUCUAAAUUUGAAUGCAUCUAUACACUAACUCAUGUCUAAAUACAUCCAAUUUUUUUUUGACAAACUUGAGACAUGCAUCUUUUGUUGGACGGAGGGGGUAUAUAGUUUUAUCAAGAAUAUAUUUUAUUGUCUAUGUUUGUUUUGGAUUUAUUUGCACUUUGAUUCAUAAUUUAGUGGAGUCAGCAGAUAUUAUUGUUUGUUGGUGACGACAAGGAUGACGCAAACGAUGAAGUGAAGCAUUAGAAAACGACUAGGACAAGUCCCACACUCCAAAAUGACAAGUUGGAGCAAUAUUGUAUUGCCAGUGAUCGGAUCACAUGGUGUCUACAUGCAUAUUAGUAUAUCAUGCAUCCCUAGCUAUCUAGCUAGCUUACCGUGUUGAUUUUACAUAUGCUUGGAAUUUGAUCACACAUGCUAGGAAUUGCGAUGCAUGGGUAUGAAUGAAUGAAUAUGCAGAUGAGCAUUUGACACAUAGAAAUGAGCAAUCUCUUCUGUUAGACAAGGAAGGAGGGGCUUAGCUUAGCUUGUCCUGUACCCCAUGUUAUGGUUCUUUUCUGGCCCCGGUUUUGGGGAUUGGUAUGUAUACAUGGGCUGUGGACAAAUUAAAAGUGAGCUCGUUGGAGGCAGCAGAGCCAAGCAGAGUACAUCCAUACAUCCCGGCCAUGGGGUGGGGAACGGAGAUAUCCUUGUCCUUUGUAGGAUGGAGACGUUGCUGCCGUGCAGGACCAGAUGAUAGCAAAUCGGGAGACGUAGCCGUCGUCCCAGUCAUACACACUUUCUCAAAGAAAUCAAACAUGGCACGACAAAUCCUCAAAGAAAUCAACAAUUUUACCUAGGCCUUAUUGGAGUGGUGAGAGAUUUUCAUUUUAGAAAGAGAGAAAAAGAAGAAGGAGAAGGCGAGGUUGGAUUUGUUCGGUGUGGUUGGUUGGUGCCUGUGGAGGCGGCGGCGGCGGCGAGCCCGUGAGUGAGUGGUGCUCUGCCUUGCUGCUGGCCCACCCCAAAAAAUAAAAUAAAAUCGUCCAUCUGGGCCGUCCAUCGCAGGUAUAAGACUGGGUGCCACCCACAGCCCAUCGCCGUAUCCUCCUCCAUUUCCCCACCCCCGCCGCCUCCCUCUUCUCCAAACAAAGCCGAGCCGGCACACGCACACAAGAAGCAGGCGAUGGCGUCCGACGGCAGCGGCGUUGUGGCGCUGUACGGAGGCAACAACAACAACAGCAUUCUGGACUCCAAGUCCCCCUUCGCCGUCAAGGCGGGGCUUGCCCAGAUGCUCCGCGGCGGCGUCAUCAUGGACGUGGUCACCGCCGACCAGGCGCGCAUCGCCGAGGAGGCGGGGGCCUGCGCCGUCAUGGCGCUGGAGCGCGUCCCCGCCGACAUCCGCGCGCAGGGCGGCGUGGCCCGGAUGUCUGACCCGGGCCUCAUCCGCGACAUCAAGCGGGCCGUCACCAUCCCGGUCAUGGCCAAAGCCCGCAUCGGCCACUUUGUGGAGGCCCAGAUCCUGGAGCACAUCGGCGUCGACUACGUGGACGAGAGCGAGGUGCUCACGCUCGCCGACGACGCCCACCACAUCAACAAGCACAACUUCCGCGUCCCCUUCGUCUGCGGCUGCCGCAACCUCGGCGAGGCCCUGCGCCGGGUCCGCGAGGGCGCCGCCAUGAUCCGGACCAAGGGGGAGGCCGGCACGGGCAACGUCGUCGAGGCCGUCCGCCACGUCCGCUCCGUCAUGGGCGACGUCCGCGCGCUCCGGGCCAUGGACGACGACGAGGUCUUCUCCUACGCCAAGUCCAUCGCCGCGCCCUACGACCUCGUCCUGCAGACCAAGCAGCUCGGCCGCCUCCCCGUCGUCCAGUUCGCCGCGGGAGGCGUCGCCACCCCCGCCGACGCCGCGCUCAUGAUACAGCUCGGCUGCGACGGCGUCUUCGUCGGCUCCGGCAUCUUCAAGAGCGGCGACCCGGCCCGCCGCGCGCGGGCCAUCGUGCAGGCCGUCACCCACUACAGCGACCCCGCCGUGCUCGCCGAGGUCAGCUGCGACCUGGGGGAGGCCAUGGUCGGCAUCAACCUCUCCGACCCCAAGGUCGAGCGAUUCGCAGCGCGCUCCGACUGAUCCCCUUGUGCUCCUCCAAUCCAAUCCAAUCCAAUAUUGCUCUGCUCUAGUCGCCUCCAUCAAGCAAUCCACCACCCAUGAUCAACAACUUUAAAUUGCUAGCUCGCUCCAGUAUCAUUCCUUCAUUAUAUAGCUCCCUCCGAUAACCAGGAGCUCAAGUUCAAGUUUGUACGGUACAUGCAUGCGAUGCGCCUCGAGUCAGUCAAUCCUCUGUCCUUUAUAUACAUAUAUAUACCCCUUUUCUUCUUAUAUACACAUAUGUUGUGGUCUCUGCAUUCUUGUUAACAACACCCAGGUUAAGUGCCUGCUUCUUUGGGUCAUGUCCUGCUAUAAACAAUCUUCUUGUCACUUGGUUUUGUUUCUACUACUCUAGUACUUGCUGCCGGUCGUGCUGGUCCGUUGGACUCUGCUUAAUUACCAUAACUCAGUACUACUCGACUCAAUAUAAUCGAAUGAUGUAUUACUAUCUCUUCUUCUUUAAUAAUGUUGGUAUCAUGAGCACCAAGUGAUUUUAACUGCCGAGUAUGUUACUUGCAAACCGCAAAUUUGGCCCAACCUGAAUCGUUUCGGAAGUUUUUUUUUAUGUGAACCUCGUCAAGGCAAAGAGCAGAGGCUAUUCUUUUGUCAAGGAAACCAGCUGCUUAAAAUCCAUAUAGAGCAAAACAUAAUACUCCAUAAUCGGGUCUAUGCAGGGGCAGAGUAGCUUUCUGUUAAGCCUAGAGCCAUUGCUUCAAAUCACUAAAUUUACAAACCAAGACCUAAGCCAAAAUCUUUAAAUUACCCAGCCCUCGGUUGUGGCCCCCGCUGCCCCGCCCUGUCUCUGCCCCUCAGUCUACGGCACCAACGUAAUAGACGCACCGUUGAAGAAGGAUCUUGUCAGUUUUGUUCAAUCGUGUCCUUUUCAUGCCAAACUUUAGUCAAAAUUUUCUGAUGGACAUCGAGACCGUUAUCGGACUCAAGGAGCUCCUCGUUGUAGACAUCGUCCCUUUUGUAGACACUAUGAAGCCUGCCGAGAUGUCGUAGGCAUACGUUUCCAAGUUUAGCAUGAUCUUGUACUUGUGGAUUUUCCGGGUUUAUCGCACGGCUUUGUGAAGUCCUGUGAUUAGAUCUUACUAUCUCUUCAACUUAACCACCACAUCAUCGACGCAAAGCUUCUUGGGUAUGUGCAACCCGUGUUCCUCAUCCAAAGGGCGCAUCGUCUUAUAACAAAACAUGCCUGAGGGUGUGAUGAAGCUCGUGUGAGGCAUAUACUUUUGCUCUCAAUUGGAUCUUAUUGUACCCAGAGUUAGCUUUCAUUCAAUUUGACAAGCAUACCUUAAAUUGUUGGUUGAAGUAAUAAUGUUUUACCGUACACCAGACAUUUUGUAAAUACAUGAUCCUCUUUUCAUCAUCAACAUACAAAUCAAAGGCUUUUGGAGAGAAAACGUGAGCAAUGCAUGGCUAUAUGUAACAGUCGUACUUUUAAUUCAAACUUCAUGACUCAAGACGAAAAAUUAUCCAAAUUAACAUGCAUAUUGUUGUCUCCAAGAGGUUAAGUAAAAUAGCCUAAUUGACAAAUAUUUUAACUAAUGGAAAAGAUAACUAGCUAUCUAUGUCGACAUGGCAUUACAAUGGAAGCCUUAUUUUGAACCUAAUAAGUCCCUCUUAUGAUGUGCCAUCAUCAUCAUCUUUCCCACAAACAGAGUACUGCGUGGGUGCAUCAGUUGAUCCGUCAUUUCCCAUGUGAGCUUGGCCUACAUCAGUACCAUCAUAGCCCAAAUAAGUUUCCGCCUCUAGGAAUCUCUUGUAGUAUGGCUGGUCAGAAAGAACAUACGCCGAUUGGUCAUAGCCAAAUGGAUCUUCAACAUUAAAUUCAUUACUAGCGGAGUUGACCAACAAUGGUGGAUCCUCGAUGUUAUGCUCAAAAGUUGAGCAAGGACCUGAAUUGUUCUGAGGUGGCUCCAUUGUGUUGUAAGGACUUGCAGAGUUAAGAAGAGGCAACUUCAACAAUGAAGGUGACUCAUGCACUUGACCAGGAGUUAGUGAUGAUAAAGCCAAUUGUGUGUGCUGCAACAUUUUUUGUGCCUGCAUAGGAAAAGGUUGAGCCAAAGUUUUAUGCGGCACCGAUUGUGGUUGAAUCAAUGAUGGUUGAUGUGGAAGCAUGUGAGACCCCAAUGGAUUCAUCGAUGAAGGAGGAGUCCAAUUGCCACCCCGUGAUUGAACUCUUGGUGGUACGAGGUUUAAUGACACCCCUGAACCACAAGUCAUGUGUUCAUGACCAUGAUGAAGUGGAGGUAGACGAUGCACCAUAUCUUGCUGAACACAUAAGAGUCCAGUGAAGAUCUUGUUCAGAUCUUCGAGAUUGAGAUCUUCUUUCUUGGAGAAGAGAUGGUUUGCCACCAUGCAACGUCAGGUCCAUUUCUAUGAGUCGUCUCACCGUGGAUUCGGGAGCACAUGCGCCGCAAAUGUUGAAUGCCACCCGGGUACCAAAGACUGAACUAGUCUUCUAUUUAGUAGCUUCCAGUACAACCACAUGCUAAAUGGGUUCUGUCUUGAUUGAGUAAGUUGUAUGAACCCAGAUCUGAGGGAUUGUGAUGAUGUAGAAUGUGUAGGUGGGAGCGCGGGUCCCUCAUGUGGUUUGGGGGAUUACCUCUGAAAGUCAUGUAAUUGAUGCCGUUGUUACUCUACCCUGAGAACAACAAGGGAUUAACACGUCGAUUUCUUGUGGGUAAAGUGUACAACCUCUCGAGAGUGUCAAACUAAGUACUUAGCUGUGUCCCCGGUUACGGACAAUUUUAAGCAACUAGAUCAAGUGACUGUAAGGAAGGUCUCACUCAUUCCAACUUCAUAAUUAAAAUUUGAUGGUUUAAACAUGGGAUAGGAGCACCGUCAAUGUCUAGUGCAAGAGACGAGCAAAGGGGUCCAGAGCUGACCGGCGCCCCGAGCUGCUUUUCGCGGUGCGAGGGAGAGCGCCAGGGAGGAGAGCCCCCACAUGUCGAUGUAGAAGGCGGGGGAACGCGGGAUGCAGCCAGAGGCGGAGGGCUAGAUCAAGAGGCACGGAUGUUGGGGACUUGGGGCUAGGGGUGGGAGUCGGCGAGGGAUCUUUCGUCGCACGUAUUGGAAGACGAGGAUGUCCUAGAUGCCGCAGGCGAAGUUGUGCGACCCCGCGAUGGGCGCUCGAUACCUCCUCUCCUCAUCUCUUCCAAUCGUCCGCAACCCAAGAAAAAAACAAUCAGCUCCCUAAUCAGCAAUGCGUUGAACAUCUGAAGCUUGGUACCUUUGAUGAUAUUUUGUCGGCAAUAUUCUGAUGGUUACACAUGUGCAUAAUUGAUGAAAAUGAAUUUUUAUUGCACUGAUUUAGAUUUCAGGUUGAUACAUUAAUUACUACUCACAAGUAAUAAAAAUGAUUUUGACAUCAAUAUGUAAUUAGAAUGGACGGGCAAUGUAUUUUUUUGUGCUAAAGGGCAUAUGGUUUAUUUCAAUUUUGCUUUGUGCUUUGUUCAUGAAGCGACAAUCCCCUUAUAGGGUAUGAUCUUUGUGCUUACAGUACUAAUCCCUGGAUCGACUCACUAGCACACACAGUUUCAUGAUGAAAUACCAGAUAAAAAGGUCAAGUAAAUUUAUUACAUCGUCAUAUCCAGAACUCAUAGUACUUACAACUUGCAUAACCCCUCG